rnacentral:lncRNA from 1 species
CCCUCACAAGAAAGAAGUGUCCCAAAACCACACACACAUGUAAACAAGACAAGGGACAAAGAUGCAACACUCACACUCACAAAGAAUCAUCUCAUGCACACAAAUGUCACACCAUAGGCUUGCCCAUAUUUUCAAUCAACAUUGACUCAACUCCAUUUGGUUAGAAAUAUCAAAGGACUUUGUCAAAUUUGUAAUUUAGGCUUAGGGAAGGUAAGGAUAUUAUAUAGGUAUAAGUGACUACACCCUCCUUGAUCAGUACACAACAACUCCUCAUUUCCAACUUUCUCCACUAUUCAAACCCAUGCACAUUUCACACUAUUUUUUAUUUUUCUUUUCUUAUUUCCACUCUAAAUGCCCCCACAUGCAACCAUUUUCAACUUUUGGAGGAUUCAAGUCUCAUUUAUUCAUUUUCUUUCUUUCUUUUUUUCAAAACUUAUUCUUUCUUUAAGACUUCCCAUCCAUUCUUCAAUUUCUCUCUUUUUUUCUUUUUUUUACAUCAAGCCCUCAUGUGGUAAGCAUCCCUUCAAUGAAUUUCACCAUAACAACCCCAACUUAGGCUUUUAGUCUCAACUUUCACAACCUUAAGUUCAAGGAGGGAAUUUUCUUUCUUUCUAUUUCAAAGCUUAUUCUUUCUUUAAGACUCUCCAUCCAUCCUUUAAUUUCUCUCUUCUUUUUUUUCUUUCUUUUUUUACAUCAAGCCCUCAUGUGGUAAGUAUCCCUUUAAUGAAUUUCCCUUAACAACUCCAACUUAGGCUUUUAGCCUCAACUUUCACAACCUUAAGUUCAAGGAAGAAAGGGUUCAAAAGAGGGUUACCUUUUCAAAAACGAUAAGACUUGUAAUGUGGUUACCAAUAAAAAGGAUUAGGCUCAAAGGGGACAACUAAGGAUAUAUUUAGCGCAAAGGUGGGAAUUUUAAGCCAAGUGGACUUCAAGAACAUCAAAGAAAGCCUAAGAUCAUUUGUCCAACCAAACUCAAUCAAGACCUACAUUUCAAGACCAACCGGGCAAGUUGUAGGUGACAAAAGCGAACACAAGGCAUUAUUCAACAACUCACCACACAUGGCAUGCAAAUCAAUCAAGAUGGUUCAAAAUCUUACUUCCUUUUCAAAAUACAAGUAGCAUUGAACAUUUUAACUGCCAACGAAUCAAAAGUCACAAAAAAAGUUGUAAGAGUUGUCACAAAAUCAUUUAUAACAUGCUCAACCUUUUAAAAACAAAGAGGUAUGCUUAACAUUAUUCACAUGUAUGACUAUGUUCUUAGUACCAACCAAGUCAAAACCUUCCCGAAAUGACGACGAUUUUGCCCUUAAGAAAGUCAUUAGCCAAUCCAUCAUCAGGCAACCUCAUGCAUCUAUUCGGGAAUGGCUACCCAAACUUCACCCUAAUCAACGCCAAUCAAACACUCACAAGCAAUCAACGAUUUAUCCUUAAGAAAGUCAUCACUCUCUAUCCAUCAUCGGGCAUCAUCAAUCCAAAUCUUGUUAUCAAAACAAAAACAAAGAAGCUACAAACUACAAAUUAAAAACUAAAAUAGACCAAUCCAAUGCAAUAUCAACAAAAACAUCCACAAUAUCAAAGUCCGACAAGGGCACACCAGUCCAUAACAAAGAAAGAAAAGUAUGCCUGACAAGGAUACAAUCACCAUAUGCAGAAAUAAUCAAUAAAAUGACUACAAGGGGAGCAUCCCCAACUGAAAAUGAGACUGUGUCCUUACUUCGGGACAAGUAAUCAUCAUAUUUUCGGGCCCAUUGUUACUAUAGGAACCUACUCUCAUCAAAAGUACUCUUUCUCCUCAAUUUUGCCUAUAGGAAAAUAGUCUAAUCUCUCAACCUCCCAAGGUAAGGAUAAGGUCGGUGUACACUCUACCCUCCCCACACCUCACUUUAUGAGAUGAUGUUGUGUACGUUGUUGUUGUUGUUGUUGUAGGUGAAAUCAAAUUCGAAACUUCAACAAUCCAAUUCCACUUCCCUAGAAAAUUCUAUACAAAUUAAAUCUAAAUCUCCAAUUACAAUUAAAAUUCAAAUAUAAAAAACAAGGAAACUUUUUUUAUGGGGUUUCUUACUUCAAGAACCUUGUUAUUUUGAGAUUUAUCCACACUUUUAAUCGCAAAAUACUCGAUUGUCAUCUUCUUUCUUCCUUUAUAUAGCAUCUGCAAAAGACAAAAAAAAAACAAAAAAACCCUAAACGACGCAAUCAACCUAAAGCGCAAACAAAAGAAGAACAAAGAAAGAAAAAAAACCAUUACCAGUGUCUUCCAUGGCCAAAAACUUCAUAUAUAUGAUACUGAUUCAUAUUUUUUUCACUUGCUCAUACAAAAUCACUUAGCAAGGGUUUUAACUCUUUUAGUCUGCAAAAAAAAACUUAAACAACACAGUUAACCUAAAAACGCAAACAAAAGAAGAACAGAGAAAGAAAAAAACCAAUACCGAGUGUUUCUGUGGCCAAAAGCUUCGUAUAGAUGAUACUGAUUCAUAUUUUUCACUGGCUCACACAAAAUCACUAAGCUAGGGUUUUUCCUCUUUUCCUGCAUCUGAAAUUGAAACUAAUCAAAGAGAUUAUUGAAGAAUUUCAUUGAAAUCGAUCAAAAAUUCUUCAUUGAAAUCAAGAAUUUCAUUUAAAAACGGCAAGAUUUGUGAGGAUGAGAAGAGAGUGUAUGUGUGCAACAGUACGAUAGGGGUAUAUUGAAAUGAAAUGAAAAUUAUUUUUCUUUUAGAGAAAAGGAAAUUUAAAAAAUUAGAAUAGGGGGCAAAAAAAGUAUAUUUUGUUUGUUUUAUAAUUGUCCACUAAUUAGUGUACUAAAAUUUGCAUCCAUAAAUACAUUUUUAGUUGAUUAAGGUAUAAUAUCUAAUUUGAAAACAAUUUUACUUCUAUUUUUUAGUUUUACGAGAUAAAUAUGCUUUAUAUUAUAAAAAAAAGUUAUUUUAGUUAUUGAAAAAUGAGCAUGUUUGAUCAAAUUUUUGAAAUAUGUUUAUUUAAAAUAUAUUUUUGGUCAAAUAGAAUUUCAUAACUAUUUUAUUUGGGGAGAGGGAGAAAGUAGGGAUGGAAAUUGGGCGGUGUGGGGUGGUGGUGGCAAUUGGACGGUGUGGGGCGGGGUUGGGGUGGGUUGAGAAAGUAUGUCCAGAAGAAGGCAAGGCCAAAAGAUAAAGUAUAUGAUUAUAAAGUGGGUUUAGAGUAUGCUAGCUACUUAAUGACGCAUACAAUAUAGGUUGGAUUUGCAAUAAUACAUUCAUACUUGACAUUUAUCGGGUCGGCAAAAUAACAAAUUAAGGCUUUGUUAUUUAGCUAGCGUUUGGCCACAAAUUUUUAAAUAUUUUUGAUAAAUAUUUUCGGGUGAAGUUUCAUUAUGCGUUUUACCAUAGAUUUUGAGAGAAAUAUUUUACUUUUAAAAAAAAUAUGAAUUAUACCUAUAAGUUUUAGAAACUAUUUAAAAUACCCAUGAUUUUUUAUUAUCAUUUUAUAAUGAAAAUGUUCAACGAAAAGUCAUGACAACGAACAUAAUGAAUAUGAAUUUGAAAAAAAGAGGAAAAAUACAAAAGGAAAAUACCAUUGAUUUUAUACAAAAAAAAAACUACUAUUACAACAUGUAAUUGGAAGUAAUUUCGGAGAACACGUUCAGAUAAAAUUGUAUAAAAUAUGCGAAAUAAAAUUUGUACAACAAACAAGGAAUGAAAUUUAGUCUUUAUAAAAUAUUAAAACAUGGGAUAAUUUUUAAAUUUUUAUGAUUCCAAUUUUCCCAUGUUUGGUUGGCUUAAAUAUUUUGAAAAAUGUUUUCCAAAUCAACUCAUUUUCCUCAAAUUUAAGGAAAUUGACUUUCCAUAAAAAAUUAAGAAAAAUAUUUUCCAAAACUCUACUUCAUCCUUCAAUAUAUUUUUCUUACCCUACCCCGUACCCUAUCCCCCUAUCCAAGAAAAAAUAAUUUAGUUUAAAUUUUCUUAUUUUUUAAAUUUCAUAUAUUUUUACCCCCUCCCCAAACCAUUCCCCCCUCCCCCUAACAAAAAAAAUAAAAUAAAAAUUUUGAAAAAUAUUCCAAGUUUUAAUUUUUUUUUUUACCUCACUCAACCCCUACCACCUAUGCCCUCUCCUCCCACAACAAAAUUGUUUUGGUUAAAAAUUUCAAAUUUUUAAAAAAAUCAUUUUUACGCUCACCUCCCCCCCCCGACCCCCCAAAAAAAAAGUUCAUAAAAAUAUAGUUUGGUAUGAAGGAAAACAUUUUCUGGAAUUGUUUUCUAAUUUUUCCAUGUUUGGUUGACUUAAAUAUUUUGAAAAAUGUUUUUCAAAUGAACUCAUUUUCCUCAAAUUUAAGGAAAAUGACUUUCCUUCAAAAAUUAAGAUAUUAUUUACGUUCAUUACAUAAUACAUAAUUAAUUUAAGAUUUUCAGGUAUAGACUUGUCAAUGAACUGAUUUCAUAAGCUUAACUUUAUCAACAACAAUAAAAAAAAUUAAUAAACUUAAUCGUCAAAUAUAAGGUCGUGCACUUAGGAAAACAAUUUCAGUGUCACAAAGUAUUGCACAAAUUUGUGCAUAGCAUGGUCUAUAGGGUGACACAUAGAGAUGACUUCUUGUACCCACCGUAAGCCAUAUGGAUGGAUGCCAUUCUUGACAUGCAAACAACCCGAAGUAAACAAAUAUUGUCUGAAGGAUCAUCCUCGGGCCUCAGGGAAGGCCCUUAUUCAAAGAAGAGAAUUAUGGGAGUUGCUAGACUAUCAACCUUUAUAUCCAUUUAAUCCAAUCCAAAGAAAAUAUAAAUCUUAUUUUUAUAAGAAACGGAAGAGGAAAAGGAUGUAUGAUAUCAACAUUUCCUACCUAUUGUUGAAUAAUUCUAGAGUUUCACUAUGAGUUGAGUUAGUAAUUACAAUCUGAUAACAAUAAAUCAAAUUUUGAAACAUAUGCGAAAUAGAGGAAACACUUUUCUCCUCUGACAGAAAGUACACCAGCCAUGAGAUCACUAUAACCGAAUAUGAACUUAGUAGCUGAAUGCACCACAACAUCUACAAAACCACAGACAAGUAAGUUAACAUUCAAUGCAUGUUAUUGGUGAGUAAUCCAGUUAGCAAAACAAAAAGUGUUUGAAAAAUACCUACUCUGAGCUCCAAGGAUGGGACAGUACUAUGGAGAUAAUAUUGUUAUCUACUAGCACAAGAGCCCCAUGUGCAUGAGCCAUCUUGACAAUUUUCAGUGAUAACUCAGAAGAGACAACAGUAUGAGACAAAAAAUCAUUAUCUUUUGAAGAUUUAUAUAUAGCUAUAUAUUAGCAACAUUAAAAGAUGAAAAUUGUACGUGCAUAAUCUACAUAUGCCACUGUCAAUAACCCAUAUUAAUAUCACAAAUUUGUGUAUUGGGGUUGGUUGGACUUUCCAGCCAAACAUGAUUUGCCCAUGGUUUAAUCACAAAAGCAACCUCAUCUUAAGUUAGUGGUAUCCACUCGCCUGUACAAAUAAGAUAACAAUCAAGAUUCUAAUAACCUAAUGGAAAACAAAGUUACAUCGACAAUAAAGAUUCUAAUCACUAUUCCCUCCGCGUUGGUGAAAGAGUGUUGUGUUAGUGGACGUUCUGGGUACGGGUUGGCUUACCUACUUGUGGGUUAUAGUAGGUGCCAUCGUGACUCGGGAAGUCAGGUCCUGACACAAAUAUGCUUUAGUUGAGUUGGAUAUGAAACAGUCCAACACACUAUCUCCUCGUCUUUCUGUUAGUUUUAGAGUAAGGCUCCAUGUCUAGGUUAUUUUGCUUAUGCUUCUUAUUCGUUGUUCAGAUUUCCCCUAUCCUUGAUUGUGCUAGUGUCAAGUAAGAUAUGCUUCCAUCUCUUUAUGUUACUCAUUCUUAAGGUUUGCUAUUAGAUGUGGUAUUCAAAGAGAAACAAGGCUUCACACAUUAUUUACUUUCAAUAUGCUAUACAUAACUGACUAAAGAUUUUUAGAUAUAGACUUGUCAAUGAACUGAUUUCUUAAACUUUCCUUAACUUUAUUAACAACAACAAAAAAAAUUCUUAAACUUCAUGGUCAAUUAUAUUUCAAUUAGAAUGUAAUUAGGAUAAUCAUCAGAUUACCUGGAAAGGAGUUUCUCCGCCAGUUUAAGCAGAUUUGCCAACUGUUUCAGAACCUAAUGACUAGCAACACUUCUUUUUAGUGAAUCGUACCCAAGAAGAUGGAUAACAACAGGAAAUAAAUGCAUACUAUUCUUAGAAUAAUUUUGACUUGUGACGCUAAUUAUCUGCCCACGAUGUUUACCACCUUUUAGUUGCUGAAUGUCCCUAGAUAUACACUCAAUCAAACUUGGUACAGUUGAUGCGGCAAUCAUCCCAAGGGCAUCUAAACACUACUUAACAACGUCAUCCUUCUCCUUAACCAACCUAUCAACGGUUGAGAGGAAUUUAGCAUUGCAAAAAAAUAGUGGCAGCCACCUGUUCCCAUUCAUACAAAGUAGAGCCACAAAUCUGAGUGCCUUUCCCUUCAAAACUUCACUUCCCUGCUCAAUUAGAGUCAACAGAUUCAAAAAAAGAUUCUUGUCUUCGACUAAGGCAAGAAGGGACAGUGUAUCACUUUCAAGGAGGGUCAUGUUCAGAAUGUUUAAGCAGAUUUGUUGCUCUCGUAGAUUAUGCUUGACGAGUCUUGAAAACAUAUCCUUGAAUGAAAGUUAUUCCAUGACUCGUUGAAUAAGGGUUAAAAUGAACAAGACGAGCCAAGUAAGACCCUGUUGUUAGCCUCGUGAUCUCCUGCUUUCCAAGAGCCCUAAAUAUGUAUCAGAGGUUAGUCAUGAUAUCUUGGAUGGUGAAAUGAGCUGACAAUACCCUCCUUGACUGAAGAUAUUUUCAAUAGUCCUUAGAGCAUAAAUUUGAGUAAUAUUAUCCUCUCCGUUUCGUAAAAGCGAUGAAACCAAUGAAAUUAAUGGACUUGGAACCUAUAACAUUAACAUUUCUAGUAAGGAAUGUUAAGACAUAAUGUGAGGCUUUGCAAUAUGUAAAGAUGGUACAGAUGCUGGUAUGAUUUUAUCUUUUUUUUUUUACAACCCCAAGAGAAAUAUCUUAACACAUUUGUUUAUGAUUUUAUCUGAUAUAUAGUGUUGCACCUAUAAGAAGUUACAACAACAAAGAUACCUGCCAAUAGGAUGAGGGUCGGUUGUCCUUAGAUGGAGAUUCCAUUGGUUUAUUAUCCCGAGCAUGUUCAUUUUGAGUAGAUAUAUAAAAUAGUAAUUCACCCAAAGCAGCCAUGGAAAACCUUCUCACUUUCUCUUGCCUGUCUCUCAGACCAUCAGUUCGUGCACCUAAUAUUCCAAGAUUUGCCAGCUCAUCCCCCAAAAAAGUAGAGUGAUGAAUCAACAAGCCAAUAAGUGAAGCAAGUUAAGCAUGCAACAGAGAAACCUUGGGGUCACGAAGCAUUUUGAGUAGAACCAAUACAAUAGACCCAUUGGUCAAGAUGUUGGCUACAACAGCAUUGCUGCUCAAAAGCUCAAGGUAUUUGAUCACAUUUUGCUUCUCCCCUGAGGGAGUAUUCCCCCACUAACAAUACUGAUGAGUCUACUAUUCUAAUUGCACUUUUAACAUUUGGACAAAAAUCAGACAGUUGAGGUGCAUCAAAUGAAACUGAAGGAUUUGCAUCUAAACCUUUAUCUGAUUUUCUGCUAGAAAUUAUAGGUCUGACUGAGAGAUCAGAUGGAUAACGAAUAAUAUUUGAAAGGUUCGUAGAUGGUUUUGAGAUAUCAGAGAAAUCAUAUUUUUAUAAGAACUAAAAGAGGAAAAGGAAGCAUGAUUGAACUUUAACGUCAUAUAAUUGGUCAAAAGCACUUCUAAACAGUUUUUCUUUAAUGAACUUCCAAACAGUUAUACCACCAAUUUAACUUUUCCUUUGUUCAUUUUAGGGCAAAAAUGAGGGGAGAGAGAGGUGAACUACCUGGGAGGAAGGUUUCUUUUAUAUAUCACACAAUUUUCUUGCUAAUCCAAAAUCACACAGCUGCCAGGAAACAAAUAGAACUUCAACGUUAUAUAACUGGUCAAAAGCACUCAUCGUGGAAAAGUCACAACAUAAAUAUCACCAUACCUUUGUGAUUCCAUUUUCAUCCAACAGGAUGUUUGAUAGCUUUAAGUCACAGUAAAUUAUUCCCUUUGAAUGCAAGUAUCUGGUACAGUAGACAAAACACCAAAAAAGUAAUUCAUGACGAAAACAACAAGUGUUACAAAAGAACAAAGAAGGCUAAAGUUACUUACUUACAAAAGAGCUCUAACAAGGCCACAAGCAAGUUCAUGUAUUGAAUAUUCAGGAAGCUUGCCAUCCUUCAACCAGAGAUUUAAUGAUGUUAAAAAUCUCCUAGGUAUGGUUUAAACUAAAAUACAGGUAAGAUGAUGAAGAUGCAAGUUGUGACAUUACCAACUACAGUAAACUGUGGUCAUUUUGACUACUCUUUAAAUACAAUAAAAAAGAAACCUAUUUCUUUAACAUCAUUUUACUGGCACAAGAAACAAGUUAGUCCAAAGAGUGAGAACCUUUAUUUGUGAGACUACAAGCAAUCAUCUCUGUUAAAGUGUUCAAUCGCACAUGACACUGAUGUCCUUAGUGCCUGUUUGGGAAAUCCCAAUGUAGGCAUGCAUUAAAUUUACCAUGAAACCUCAAUAUCUCACACCUCUACUAGAAAAAGACCAAGAAUAAUUAGGGUGUUGUCACAAAUUUUUGAUGUUCGUGUGUAAUGUCGGCAUAAGGAAUCCUCUAUUCCAACAUAGUAUGUAUACCUCUAGAACAAUGAAAUGUAUUUGUAAGAUAGUAGACCUGCCAGUGCUUACUUGCUGCAACAAGCUUAUGAGAUUUCAUCCAACACAAUAUUCUAAAACCAACCACAAGUGUGGAAAUGUUUCAUACCUAUGGAUCGGUUGAAUUAAAAAUAAGUCAGAGAAAUCUUCUUAUUAAACACCAAAAUUAUCUUUAACACAGAAACGUAAUUGAAGAAAAAGAAAGGAAUUAGAUGCAAGACAGGAAAAAAAAAUAUGAUCAUUUGUUCACGAGACUUCAAAUUUAUGCCACGGAAUAAGAAAACUGUGUUAUCCAGUAACAUAACAUUUUCCCUCUAUAUCUAUUCCUCUAAAAAAGUUGACUACAAUUAAAAAUCAAUAGUAUUAUGAAGUUCACAAAUUUCUAAGUGAGCUAUUGGGUAGCUAAUAAAUUUUGCAGAUUGGUUCCCAAUUAAAUCAUAAAUUCUCAUCUUCCCAAUAGGGUGGCUUAGCAAUCAAAUAGAUCAAGUAACAGCUUGGGAACUAAGGUUCAAAUUUCACAAUAGACAACACAAGGUGAUAUCUUAUCAUCCACCUAAAUCUUGAUGUGCAUAGUUAAACAGAUAGUACUAUGUACUACAAUACAUGGUGUCCCAGAUACCAUUGUUAUCAAGAGGAUAAAUUAGGCACUUCCACAAUUUUAUCAUCGGAGGUGCAAGCAAAUACAACUAAGGGUCUAUCAAAAACAGUUUAAUCUCUUUUCCUCCCAAGGUAAGGAUAAGGUCAAUGUAAACUCUACCCUCCUCAAACCCCUUUUUAUAACAUUAUGUUGUGUACGUUGUCGUUGUUGUUGGAGGUGAAAUCAAAUUCAAGCAUGAAGUUCUAGUUCCCUCCGCCAUAUUUGUUUUCAAAAUGAGAACCUUGUAAAUAAAACAUGAAAUAGUAAUAACAGAAUGAACAUGCAUUAGACUUGGAGAAAACUGCCUUUAGUAAUUUCAGAUUCAUUGAUUUCCACUUCUUCUCUUUCAGUCACAGUGAAGCUCUCCACUUUCUGUUGAUGGCUUUUGAGCAUUUUUGGCAGUAAGUUCUUGUUCCUUCCUCUGAAUGUCAAAUUUAUUCAACUUUUCUUCAAACUCCUCAUUGCAUUUUCAACUAUUGGCCUCUUUUUGCCUCAAGUUCACUUGGUUUCUUCAAAUAUCCUAAAUCAACUCUCCAUUUCAUUUUCAUGCAAAAAUGAAAAAAACCACGUUAAAAGCACCAAUUCUAAACUAAAGCAAGCCAAAAUAACUACCAAAAGAGCCUCAAAUGAGUGGAACUCCACCACUCAUCAGCACCCCCAACUUCGAAACCUUGUUGGUACUCAAGUAAAGAAAAUAAAAAAUACAAGAGGCUCUUAUUUUAAGACACACUACAAAUCAAUUUCCCUUUCUCAAUUAAGCACAAAGGAAUCAUUCAACAACUCAAUGCACAUGGCCUGCAAAUCAAUCAAGAUGGUUCAAAAUUUUACUUCCUUUUCUAAAUACAAGUAGCAUUGAAUAUUUUAACCGCUAACGAAUCAAAAGUCACAAAACGAGUUAUAAGAGUUGUCACAAAAUCAUUCAUAACAUGCUCAACCUUUUAAAAAUAUUAUUCACAUGCAUGAAUAUGUUCUUAGACCGAACCAAGUUAAAACAUUCCCAAAAAGACGACAACUUUUCCCUUAAGAGAGCUGUCAACCAAUCCAUCAUCAGGAAGUCUCAUGCAUCUAUUCGGGAACGGCUACUCAGACUUUGCCCUAAUCAACACCAAUCAAACACUCAUAAGCAAUCAACAAUUUACCCUUAUGAAAGUCGUCACCCUCUAUCCAUCAUCAGGCAUCGUCAAUUCAAAUCUUAUUAUCAAAACAAAACCAAAUAAGCUACAAACUACAAAUAAAAAACUAUAAUAUACCAAUCCAACACAAUAUCAACAUAAACAUCGACAAUAUCAAAGACUGACAAGGGAACACCAAUCCAUAACAAAGAAACAAAAGUACACCCGAUAAGGAUACAAUAACAGUAUGCAGAAACAAUCAACAAAAUUAUUACAAGGGAGGCAUCCCUAACUGAAAAUAAGAUUGUGUCCUCACUUGUGGCCAAGUAAUCAUCAUAUUUUCAGGCAUAUUUUUCCUAUAGGAACCUGCUCUCAUAAAAAACACUCUUCCUCCUCAAUUUCUGGAGCCAUUUCUUAAUCAUUCAAAUUGGUUUCGAAAGCCAUUUUUAGUUCAAAACACCUACAAAUGAAGCCAACAUGUCAAAAGUUCUUGUGGACACUUAAAAAGUGUAUUAGGAAGUAUUUAAUCCAAAGAAGUAAUCAAAAGAAGGUCCGAACUGAGCUAUGCGAAGCUACUAUUUUGGGCUUGCCAUCACUGUCCUCCGUGUUCACUGAGGAAUGUCACGUUACUUGUCGUUCUGGGUACAGGUUGGCUGAUCUACUGGUGGUUUAUAGUAGGUACCAUCGUGAUUCGGGAAGUUGGGUCGUGACACAAAUAUACUUUAGUUGAGUUGGAUAUGAAACAAUCGAACACACUAUCUCCUAGUCUUUCUGUUAGAUUUAGAGUAAGAGGCUCGAUGUAAAUGUUAUUUUGUUUAUACGUCUUAUUGAUUGUUCAGUUUUCCUUUAUCCUUGAUUGCCCUAGUGUCAAGGGAGAUUGCCUAUACAUCCACCUCUUUAGGCAUUGUUCAUUUUGAAGGGUUCUUAAUAGAUAUGGUAUUCAAAAAGUUGUUCUUUGAUGCUUAUAUGGUUUUCAUCCUCUAUAGAAUAUGGUUUUUGUCUUGCCAAAGCAAAAGAAUAGUUGCACGUUUACUAUAAUCAACAGGAAAAGAUUGAGAAGGUAAAUGUCAUUAGGAAGUAAUUUGAUAGGAACAAAUUAUCUUAGAAAAUAGUAUUUGAGCAUAAGAUGAAACUUACCAAAAUUUACUAUAAUGCUGAAAUACUUUGUAGCCCCAACAACUUGCUUAAAGAGUGCCAAAGAACCUGUCAGAAAACUCAGCACCGAUCCUGCACUCAUAGCCUGCAAAUUGAUCAACAUUUAAGCAGUAAGUUUCGAGGGAGAACUUCAUGGUGGCAGGAUACCGACAACCAUAGCGCCUUAGUUCAAAUUCCCAAAAAAAUCACCUGUUCAUGAAGACCUGCAUAUUUGACCUUCUUCACUUGUGGAUGGGAAGAUAAAUAUUUAGCAAUUUUUUGUGCAUUCUCCUGCAAGAUAUUGAAAUUAUUUAGUUAGAACAUUGUGAUAUGGCAGAAUUUACGAACCAUCUUAACUUCUCAGCACAAUAUAAUGAUGAAGAUGCAACAAUAUGCAUGCCAUAAUCAUGAAAAUCUAUAGGAUCAAGAAUAAUAGAUUGACAAAGGCGCAGGAAGGCACAUAUGAUUCUAGAACGAGUGGUGGGAUACUAAUUUCACCACUAAAAAAAAGAAAAGAAAAUUAAACUUGUUGUUUUUUCAACACGAAGAGCCAUUGUUUUAAUUCCUCUCAAACAAAGACAACAAUUGAAUGGCGCUAACCCUACACCUUCAAUAUUUUGUAGGAAGUACAUCUCCUUUGCUAAGAUUGUUAAGUACAAAAAUUUAUAAGAAAAUUAUUAGAAGGACACUUGACAUGUUCGAAGAGAAACAAGACAUCAGACAUUAUUUACAUUCAAUACGCUAUACAUAACUACUAAUUUUUUUCAAAUAUAGACUUGUCAAUAAACUGAUUUCUUAAACUUUACUGAAUUUUAUCAACAACAACAAAAGAAGUUAUUAAACUUCAUGGUCAAUUAUAAGGGCAACAAUGCAUUCAGGAAAAGAAUUACAGUGUCACUAAGUAUUGCACAAAUUUGUGCAUUGCAGGGUCAAUAAGGUGCUGCAUAGAGAGGACUUCUUGUUCACACCAUAAGCCAUAUGGAAGGGAUCCAUUUUUGACUUGCAUACAACCCUGAGCAAGUAUACUAAGAUUGUACGAAGGCUCAUCCUCGGGCCUGAGUGAAGGCCCUUAUUCAAAGUAAAGAAUUAUGGAAGUUGCGAGAUUAUCGUCCUUUAUAUCCUUUUAAUCCAGUCCAAAGAAAAUAGAAAAUUUAUUUUUAUAAGAAAUGGAAGAGAAAAAGGAAGCAUGAUUUCAGCAUUUCCUACCUGUUGUUGAACAAAUCUAGAGUUUCACUUUGAGUAUGGUAACUGAUCAUUGCUAGAGAAAUCAAUAAUCGGUCUACUUACAAACUCACAUUCACUAUAGUCAAACUCCUAAUGUAAUUAUUGGUUUAGGCAAUCAAAAACGACCAGAGAAAACUAAGAAUAUACAAUCAUAAGAUAACAAUAAAUCAAAUUUUGAAAUGUAUGCGAAUUAGAGGAAAAACCUUUCUCCUCUGACAGAAAGUACACCAGCCAUGAGUUCACUAUCACCAGAUAUGAACAUAGUAGCUGAAUGCACCAAAAUAUCUACAAAACCAUGGACAAGUAAUCUAACAUUCGAUGCAUUUUAUUGGAGAGUAUUCCAGUUACCGGAACAAAAAGUAUUUGCAAAAUACCUGCUCCGAGCCCCAAAGGAUAGGACAGCACUGGGACAUAAUGUUGUUGUCUACCAGCACAAGUGCCCCAUUGCAUGAGCCAUCUUGAAAAUUUUCUAUGAUAAAUCAGAAAAGACAAUAGUUUGAGACAAAAAAAUCAUUAUCUUUUGAAGAUUAAUAUAUUACUAUCUAUCAGCAAUAAAAGCUGAAAUUUGUAAGUGCAUAAUCUACAUAUGCUACUAUCAAUCACCCACACGAAUAUGACAAAUUUGUUGAUGAGGGUUGGUUGGACUUUCAAUCCAAACAAGCUUUGUUCGUGUUUAAUCACAUAAAGUAACCUCAUGUAAGUUACAGUGGUAUCCACUCGCCUGUACAAAUUAGAUGACAAUCACGAAUCUAGUAACCUAAUUGAAAACAAAUUACAUCGACAAUAAAGAUUCUAAACAAUGUCUCAUCCGCAUUCACGGUGGACUGCCGCAUUACUUGUCAUUUUGGGUAAAGGUUGGCUUACCUACUAGUGGGUUAUAGUAGGUGUCAUCGUAACUCGGGAAGUUUGAUAUGAAAUAGUACAACACACUAUCUCCUCGUUUUUCUAUUAGAUUUACAGUAAGGGAUCCAUGUCUAGGUUAUUUUGCCUAUGCUUCUUAUUGGUAGUUCAGUUUUCCCCUAUCCUUGAGUGCACAAGUGUGAAGCCCGAUGGCAAUGAAAACACAAAAUUGCUUUGAUACUUAUAUGGCUUUCAUCCUUUAUAGAAUAUGGUUUCUGCCUUACCAAAGCAAAAGAAAUAGUUGCACGUUUACUAUAAUCAAUAGGGAAAAGAUUGAGAAGGCAAAUGUCAUUACAAAGUAGUUUGAUAGGAAAAAAUGAUAUUACAAAAUAGUAAUUGAGCAUAAGAUAAAACUAAACAAAAUUGAUUGUAAUGCUAAAGUACUUGGUAGCCUCAGCAACAUGCUUAAAGAGUGCCAAAGAACCUGUCAGAAAACUCAUUCUGAUCCUGCACCCCUAGCCUGAAAAUUGAUCAACAUUUAAAUAGUAAGUCUCAAGGGAGAGCUUCAUGGUGGCAGGAUAUCGACAAGCAUAGCGCCUUAGUUUAAAUUCCCAAAAAUCACUUGUUUGAAUACCUCAGAGAAGUGGAGUGGGUUUGUGAGCCUAAGGCACCACUUCCCAACUCCACGGGCAGGACCAUGGCUCGUGGAGUGGCUCAUGGUGCCUAGACGGGAUUCACUAAAUGAGGGUCUUUUAAGGAAUUUCCUUUUUAGUCCAAUUAAAGUGGGGUUGUUUUAGGUAUUUUUAGGGGAAGUAUAUAAGUUGAUUUUAAGUCAAAAUUCAUUAUUUUAAGUCAUACUACCCCAACACCCAAAUCAAAUCAAACACUUCCUCCUCUCUCAAUAUUUCUCUAUCUAAGCUCAAGGAAGAAGAAAGAGGCAUUGGAGCUAGGGUUUGUAGAUUUUAAAGGUUCUUCCCCAAAUAUCUUGGAGAUUCUUAAUUGAGGUAUGGAUGCUUUUCAUCUUUGGGUAGCUAUCCCCCAAAGAGCCACUUCAAAUUAUGUUUUCAAGAUUUCAAAUCCCCCAAACCUAGGGUUUUCAAUCUAUGAAAUGUUACAUUGUUUAAUUAUGGUUUAUUAUGGUUGAUUAUGAUGAUUUAUAAUGGGAAUGUUGAAGUAUUGUUGGAUUUUGAUGAAAAUCUCCCUUGGACCCAUGAUUUCCUCUUCUUCCUAAAUUGUGAACUAUGUAUGGCUUGAUUGAUGAUGGUAGCAUGACAAUUGAUUAUGUUGUUGAAUCAUGAUAUCUCUCUAUCUAGUAUGGUAAUUCUAGAAGUUAGGGUUAAUCUUGAUUCUUAGCCUUGAAGGGCAAUUUGUUAGGGUUUAUAUAUGUUGAUGAAUAUUGUAUAUGAACUUGUGAUUCUCUUAGAUAGUGAUGAACCUAUAACUAAUGUGUAAUUGUGGUAUUGACGCAAGAUCCUUCAUCCCUAUACCUUUACACUUGAUUAUGCAUGAAGUAUGUACUAGUUGGUGAUUGAGACAAGGUCUAGAUUCUUAUUUUCAUUUAGGGCUAACCCAUUGGUGGCCCCCUAAAGUUGGCAUCAAUUUUCACUGAGACAUCUUAACUAGGCUUUGUUCAUUUAGACACCUCAUGUAAGGCCCUGAUAUGUCAGUUUGACACUUUUUUUACAUUCAGCAAAAAUAUGAUGGUGAGUGUGUUCCAAUCGUGAAUGAUGUGUAAAGUGUCUAAUUAAAUGAGGACACUUGUCAUUUUGUUCAAAAUAAUUCUUAAAUAAUAAACUAUCAAUUAUAAAAAUAAAAAUAAAGAUGGCCAAUGGAUCGGUGACACGUGGCUUUUUUUUUCCAAAUAAUAACAAAAAAAGGAUUAAAUCACCUUAACAAAUCUUUAAGAGAAACAUCUCCCACUUCCACCCCCACCCCAUCGUGUUCUUCAACGUUGGAGAAACAAGCAUAGUAGCACACACCCCUUAAUUUUCUAUCAUAUACCCAAAAUUUUCUCUAUCUCUUUUACUUAAAUAUUGUUCAAUCCUACUUUAGUGAACUUGUGUAACUCAAUUUUUUUCAAAUAAAUGCAUCUCCACAAAUUUUAUUGCUAAAAGAGAAUUUUACAGUUUUUAUUGCUAAAAAAAAUAAAGUCUAAGAUCCAAUGAACUUUUAAAAUACAAAUGUGUACGUGUUCAUAUCAGAUUGUUAAGUUUCUUUUAAUGGGAUUAUCUCAUUUUUAGUGACUUUUUAUUCAUCCCCAACUUUUCAUUUUUUUCUUCAAGUUUCAGUCUUUUUUUCUCAAAUUAAAUUGAUGAAGAAGGGCAGCAUCCUUGGGAAAUCUUGGGGAAAGCUCUGUUUGGAAUUAGAUUCCACAGUUGUGGCAUCAUCAAAUAUAUUUUACCAUGGAAGAAGUUCAAGUUUGAGAAAAUGGUGGUUGAAAAUAUGGGGAAGAAGAAGGAAAUAUAAAAUAAAAAUUGGCUAAAAAAGAGCCUGACGCGCGGUUAAUGAGUGGGUCAGACUCACUAUGCCAUAUCAGCAAAAAGUGUCAAAAUGAUACAUCAGGAUCUUAUAUGAGGUGUCUAAAAUGAACAAAGUCUAGUUCAAGUGUCUAAGUGAAAGUUCAUGCCAACUUUUAGGAGCCACCGAUGGGUUAAGCCUUUCAUUUAUGAAAAAUAAAUUGACUUCGAUUGUAAAAGUUUUAAAUUUUUCCGCAUUAUUCUAUGACUUAUGUGUAUGAUUAUGCUAAGGUCUUGUAUGCGACCCCUUCAGGGUCAAGUACAUUGUGUUACGUCUAGGGGGUACCCCUGGGUCGUGACAAACUUGGUAAUUAGAGCACAAGAUUUAGAAUGAUUCUAGGAUUGAUGUCUCAUGAACCAUGUCUAGUAGAGUCUUGUUCAUGAAUGUGAAGCGCGCCACACUUAUGAAUGAGAGGCUAUAAGUUGUUUAGGAACUUUUCCUUCUUUCAUUACUCUUUAGUCAUGCUUUAGAGUUUUAACUCUAUGAAGUCCUUUUUCCUAACCCUUUUCUUGUGUAUAUAGCAUAUGAAUACUAGAAGGGGAAAUGCAAGAAGGAGGGAAGAGGAGAUUGUGAAUGAGGGAGUUCCUCCCCAAGGUCCUCAAGAGCCUCAAGUUCCUCAAGCUCCUAAUAAAGAGGGGGAUAUGACCAAUGUGGAGAGAAGGACAACUCUCCAAACAUUGACUCAUGCUUUGACGGCUCAAGUCACAAGGAUGCUAGAGUUCAAGUGAACCCCAAUGUAAGUACAACCGAUUCAAGGUUAGGGAUUUCACAAGAAUAAAUCCCCCAGUGUUCUAUGGCUCCAAAGUGGAUGAAGAUCCAUAAGGGUUUAUUGAUGAAGUGCUUAAUGUGCUUAAUGAUAUGAGAGUGUCUUCCCAAGAGAAGGCAGAACUAGCCACCUACGAAUUGAAGGAUGUGGCUCAUGUUUGGUUUGAGCAAUGGAAGGAUGAGAGACCCAUAAGAGCGGGCCCGAUACAUUGGGGAUUGUUCAAGUCAGUCUUCCUUGAUAGGUUUUUUCCUCUUGAGUUGAGGGAACGAAAAAUGCAAGAAUUCAUCAACCUUCAACAAGGAGGAAUGACUGUGAAGGAAUAUGGCCUUAAGUUCACCCAAUUGUCUAAGCAUGCUCCAACUUUAGUGGCGGACUCUAGGGCCAAGAUGAACAAAUUUGUUAUGGGGUUAUCCGACUUGGUGGUCAAUGAAUGUCGUUCGGCUAUGCCUAUUCCAAGUAUGAAUAUUGCACGUCUUAUGGUUUGUGCCGAACAAAUUGAGGAACAAAAGCUGAAGCAAGUGAAUAGAGAAGUAAAGAGGGCAAGAGUCGAUGAUGGAAAUUCUUUCGAGGGUAAAUUUGAGAUUCAAGGUAAACCAACGUUCAAGAAGAGGUUUUCCAACCAAGGCUCUUCAAGUGCUCCAAAGGGAAACAAAGAUAUGGUGUCUAACCCUAAGCCUCAAGGAGGUUGUAGUAGUGGUUCUUAUGUUGAGAGAACUACUUGUGCCAAGUGCGGCAAAAAGCAUGAUGGCAAGUGCUUAGUUGGCAUGGAUGGUUGCUUUAGUUGUGGAAAGAGCGGCCAUAUGAAGAGAGAUUGUCCCAUGCUAAAGGUUCAAGGAAGAGAGGGCAAGCAGGCCCCUCCUAGUGGUUCAAAUUCUGAUGCUCCCAAGAAGAACCGCUUCUAUGCUCUCCAAUCACGAGGUGACCAAGAGAGCUCUUCGGAUGUUGUAACGGGUAUGUUGCAAGUCUUUUUCAUUGAUGUUUAUGCAUUAUUAGACCCCGGUGAUACCUUGUCAUUUGUUACACCUUUUGUGGCUAUGAAAUUUGAAAUGUUCCCCGAUGUGUUAGAAGAACCUUUCUCGGUGUCUACCCCGGUUGGUGACUCGGUAGUGGCAAAAAGAGUCUAUAGGAGUUGUCAUAUUUCUGUCUUAUAAAGUCACUUUGGUUGAUUUGGUAGAAUUAGACAUGCUUGAUUUUGAUGUAAUUUUGGGCAUGUAUUGGUUGCAUGCAUGUUAUGCUUCUAUAGAUUGUAGGACCCGAGUGGUCAAAUUUCAAUUUCCAAAAGAGUCAAUUUUAAAGUGGAAAGUGGGGGAUUCUAUUCCGAGAGGUCAAAUUGUUUCAUGUCUAAAAUCUAGGAAAAUGAUCUCCAAGGUGCAUGCAUCAUAUUGUUAGGGUUAUGGAUGUUGAGUCCAAGGUGCCUUCUUUAGAGUCGGUCCCCGUGGUGAGUGAGUUUCCUGAAGUCUUUCCCGAUGGCUUGCCCGGCAUUCCUCCCGAAUGGGAAAUAGACUUUGGAAUUGAUCUUUUGCAGGAUACACAACACAUAUCCAUCCCUCCUUAUAGAAUGGCUCCAGCCGAAUUGAAAGAGUUGAAGGAGCAACUCAAGGACUUUUUAGACAAGGGUUUUAUUCAACCAAGCAUCUCUCCAUGGGGUGCUCCGGUAUUGUUUGUGAAGAAGAAGGAUGGGUCCCUUAUGAUGUGUAUAGACUACCGUCAAUUGAAGAAAGUGACUAUAAAGAAGAAGUAUCCUCUCCCUACAAUUGACGAUUUGUUUGAUCAACUUCAAGGGGCUAACUAUUUCUCCAAAUUAGAUCUUCGUUCGGGUUACCAUCAACUAAGGAUAAGAGGGGUUGACAUUCCCAAAACGACUUUCCGAACUAGAUAUGGGCAUUAUGAGUUCCUUGUGAUGUCAUUUGGUCUAACUAAUGCCCCAAAGACUUUUAUGGACCUUACGAAUAGGGUUUUCUGGAAAUAUCUCGACAUGUUUGUCAUUGUGUUUAUUGACGAUAUCUUGAUCUAUUCUAAGAGUGAGAGUGACCAUAUGGACCAUUUGAGAGUUGUGUUGCAAGUCCUCAAGGAUAACCAAUUGUAUGCUAAGUUUAGUAAAUGUGAGUUUUGGCUAAGGUCGGUUGCGUUCCUUGGUCAUAUUGUGUCGAGCAAGGGUAUUAAGGUAGAUCCAAAGAAGACGGAUGCGGUCAAAGGUUGGCCUAGACCUCUAACUCUUACCGAUAUUAGAAGUUUUUUGGGUUUAUCCGGCUUCUAUUGGAGGUUUGUUGAGUGUUUCUCCUCUAUUGCUUCUCUAUUGACAGCCUUAACUCAAAAGAACGCUCAAUUUGUGUGGUCGGAAGCUUGUGAGAAAUGCUUCCAAGAAUUGAAAGAUAAACUCACCUCCGCUCCAAUUUUGACCUUACCGGAGGGUACCGAUGGGUUUGUAGUAUAUUGUGAUGCUUCUCGAGUGGGUUUAGGAUGUGUCCUUAUGCAACAUGGGAAAGUAAUUGCCUAUGCCUCAAGGUAACUCAAGAUACAUGAGAAGAACUAUCAAACUCAUGAUCUCGAGUUGGAGGCGGUGGUAUUUGCUUUGAAAUUAUGGAGACAUUAUCUAUAUGGGGUGCAUGUUGAUCUGUUCACCGACCACAAGAGUCUCCAAUAUAUGUUUAGCCAAAAAGACUUGAAUCUCUGACAAAGAAUGUGGUUAGAACUUUUGAAAGAAUAUGAUAUGAGUGUCCUUUAUCACCCUGGGAAAGCCAAUGUAGUUGCCGAUGCCCUAAGUCGAAUGUCCAUGAAUAGUGUGUCUUAUGUAGAAGAUGAGAAGAAAGAGUUAGUUCGAGAUGUACAUUGGUUGGCCCGGUUAGGUGUCCAACUAGUGAAUUCCACCAAGGGUCGUGUCAUGGUCCAUCAUGGUUCCAAAUCCUCAUUCGUGGUUGAUGCGAAGUUCAAGCAACACAUUGAUCCUAUAUUAAUGGAGUUGAAAGAAUCGGUACUCAACAAGUCCGUUGAGGCUUUCUCCCAAGAGGGAGAUGGGGUGCUUAGGUACCAAGGUAGAUUAUGUGCUCCGGAUAUUGAUGGCUUAAGAGAACAAAUUUGAAGAGACUCAUGGUUCGCGAUAUUCUAUUCAUCCGGGAGCCACCAAGACGUACCGUGACCUACGGGAAGUCAUUGGUGGAAUGAUAUGAAGAAGGAUAUAGUGGGUUUUGUAGCCAAAUGUCCAAAUUGCCAACAAGUUAAGGCCGAGCAUCAAAGGCCCGGAGGGUUGUCCCAAGAUAUAGAUAUUCCCACUUGGAAGUGGGAGGAUUUGAAUAUGGAUUUUGUUGCGGGGUUUCCUCAUACUCUAAGGCAACAUGAUUCUAUUUGGGUCAUUAUUGAUAAAAUGACAAAGUCCGCCCACUUUAUUCCCGUCAAUGUUUCUUAUUUGGCAGAAGAAUAUGCCAAGUUGUACAUCAAUGAGAUAGUGAAGUUGCAUGUGGCUCCCUUAUCUAUCAUUUCAGAUCAGGGUGAUCAAUUUACUUCACACUUUUGGAAGGCAUUCCAAAAAGGGCUUGGUACCAAUGUUAGGCUUAGCAUCGCUUUUCACCUUCAAACGGAGGGUUAAGAGGAACGCACCAUUCAAACCUUAGAGUACAUGUUGAGGGCAUAUGUGAUUGACUUCAAGGGUAGUUGGGAUGAACAUAUUCCAUUGAUAGAGUUUGCCUACAAUAAUAGUUACCACUCAAGUAUUGUCAUGGCACCGUUUUAAGCAUUGUAUGGUAGGAGGUGUAGAUCUACGGUUGGUUGGUUUGAGGUAGGUGAAUUUGCUCUAGUUGGUCUCGAAUUAGUCUAUUAGGCCAUUGAAAAGGUUCGCCUCAUUAGAGAGAGGUUGAAGACGGCCAAAGUCGGCAAAAGUCUUAUGUCGAUGUUAGAAAGAGGGAUCUAGAAUUUGAGAUUGGUGAUUGGGUCUACUUGAAAAUCUCACCUAUGAAAGGUGUGAUGAGAUUUGGUAAGAAGGGGAAGCUUCCCAUAUCAAAUCUUGAAGCGUAUUGGGAAGGGUGCUUAUGAAUUAGACUUCCCAAGUGAGUUGGCUGCAGUUCAGCCGGUGUUUCAUGUUUCCAUGCUCAAAAAGUGCAUUGGUGAUCCGGUAUCAAUCAUUCCUUUAGAGGGUUUAGGAGUUGAUGAGAAUCUUUCCUAUGAGGAAGUUUCGGUAGAGAUUUUGGGCUGGGAAGUUAAGAGGUUGAGAAACAAAAAAGUAUAUUCGAUUAAGGUCUUAUGGAGGAAUCACUUAGUUGAGGCCGUGGCCAACAUGAAGUCCCGCUAUCCUCAUAUUUUUCCUUCUACUCCUAUUACAACUUGAGGUAAGUAGUUUCUUGAGUUUGGUAUUUUGGAAGUCAUAUGUGCUAUAAGUGUUCUCUAUGAUUUCCUUAUGUUGUGAAUGUUCUUGUGAGAAUUCAUGUUUAGCGUAAAUUGAGUUUUCAUGAUUUAUAUGUUCCUCAUGUUGAGUUGCAUUUUUAGUAUGAUGAUUGCAUAUUUGACUUCAUGAGGUGAAUUGAUGAACAUGCUUAGUUAUGAUUUUGAUGAAAUGAUAUGUUGGAUCUAUAUUCUUUUGUUGAGCUUGCUUUGAGUUGGAGAAGGUAGUCCCUCCUAUGUUAAUAUGAAAUGAUAAAUAUUGUGCAUAAUGGGUUGUAGAUGUAGUUUCCUACUUCCUUGUGAUUCCAUUGAUUAUGUCUUGAGAUGGAGUUGAUGUUUCCUCCUAAUGAAUUGUUCGUUUUGUUAUGUUGCAUGCUCGUUAGGCUGCUAGUCUUGAGUCUUUACUUCUGUAAGAUGUCUAAAUCGUCAUUCGAGGACAAAUGUUCCCAAGGGGGAGAUAAUGUAACACCCCAUAAAAUGGUAGGUUCAACUAGAACCUAAACGUAAGGGUAAAAAUCAUAAAAUGACUCCCCGAGUGUUAGUAAGUCAUUUAAGGUUGAAAAAAGGACUUUUUGAGUUAAGGCCAAGGGGUAAGUGCCAAGGCAAAGGGGCCAAAGGCCAAGGCUGCUCCUUGCUAGGAGCACAUUGCUUCACCUUCACUAGAGGGACCACAACCCGUGGUCCACUACACAGCUCGUGAAGGGGGUCGUGAAGCUCCCUUGGCCAUGGGAAAAUGGCCACCCUUUGGCCUAGCCACUGCCUCAACUUCACAUGAGGGACCACGGCUCGUGGAGCCCUCUGUGAAGAAGACUUGGGCAAAGUGGCUAAAGGCCCCAAAAGGCAAGCUCACUGCCUCAAGGACCACGAGAGGGACCACGGCUCGUGGUCUUGACCACGUCUCGUGGAGCCCCUCGUGGUAAUGCCUUAGGCUUGUGAGCCUAAGGUAAUCCCAAGCCACUACCUCAACUCCACGGGUAUGACCAUAGGUCGUGGUCCUCACCAUGGCUUGUGGAGUGGCUCGUGGUGCCUAGACGGGAUUCACUAAAUGAGGGUCUUUUAAGUAAUUUCCUCUUUAGUCCAAUUAAAGUGGGGUUGUUUUGGGUAUUUUUAGGAGAAGUAUAUAAGUUGAUUUUAAGUCAAAAUUCAUUAUGUGGGGGUAGAACACCGGAUUCCAUGUCGCUCACAUGGUCUAUGUCGAUUAAGGCUAUUAUCCCUAUAUGAUACGAAUAUGAACUAUGGUAAGAGCAUGGACUUUAAUUAUGACUUCUUAAGAGGUACUACUUAGUAUGAGUGGGGAUAUGGGACUUCACUUACACAUUGCACAAGUAGACCUUAAGGGAGGUUGUGAUGAGUUCUUUUAUGUUAUGAAGACUUAUGAAAUAUGUAUGUAUGAUAUGUAUGAAUGUUAAUGUUGACUUUACUUGUUACAAGUUAUGAUCAUGAAUGUCUCCUUACUUAUGUAUAUUGGCUAUGACGAGGCCAAUGUAAGAUAUGUAUGUUGUUGGUGACUUAAAUGUGAUACUUGGCAUUUGGUAGGGUUAUUGGAUCUUACCUUUGCAUUGCACUAGUAUGACUUUGGGUUGCUUGUAUCUUGGUAUGACUUAUGUUUCUUCAUAAAUGUGCAUAAUGGUUUUCAAACUUGAUAAAGGCAUGAUUUCAACUAAAUGUCCCUUUUAUGCAUGUUUCAAUGAUUUUGUGCAUGGCUUCCAUAUUUAGUACUUUAUGUGCUAACCCAUAUUCAACUUUUUACUAUUAGUGUAGGUUCCGGUCAUUGAUACAUACUUCUUACUUCAAGUGAAGCUUGGGUUGAGUAUUCCCUAGGCUUGGUGAGUCCUCAAGUUUGCGGACAAGUUGUUAUCAUUUUCUAGUUUCUAUGUACUUUCUAUUUUUGAGACUUUAUUGAUGUAAAGGGCUUUGACCCUAUUUGUACUCCCUAUUAUACUAGAUGGUGAUUGAGACAAGGUCUACAUUCUUAUUUUCGUUUAUGAAAAAGAAGUUGACUUCGAUUGUAAAAGUUUUAAAUUUUUCUGCAUUAUUCUAUGAUUUAUGUGUAUGAUUAUGCUAAGGGCUUGUAUGCGACCCCUUCAGGGUCAAGUACGCCAUGUUACGUCUAGGGGGUACCCUAGGUCGUGACAAGAACGAGUGGUAGGACACCUAAUUUAACAACCAAAAUAAGCAAAUAAAAUUAAACCUAUUAUUUUUCAACGCGAAUAGCCAUUGUUUUUAUUCCUCUCAAACAAAGCCACCAAUCGAAUGGCGCUAACUGAUGUUUGCGUAAUCAAGACACAACUUCCAAUGCAAGUGUCUACGAUCGUACAAUAGUAAAGUAACCCAACCAAGGGUUGGGUUCGAGUCCCAAGGGAGUGGUUUUGAGAAUUAAUAGAAAAAUAAAAUUAAGUUCUAAUUAGUCAUAGCUAAAUAUAUUAUCGAAUAAGAAGAUGUUAAAUCUAAGGGGUGAGGCAAGCGUAAUUUAUCAAUGGGGGUUUGUCACAAAUAAACAAAAAUUACCUUAAAUAUAAGGAGUACUAAUCAAGGAGAUGGGAUUCUUGGGAUGUGAUAGGAAUACGGGAUAAACUAAACUAUUGGGGGUACAUGCUUUUGAUAAUAAAUCUCUUGAAUAUUUGUGACUAGGCUAGACUAUAGUGGGGGUAAACUCUGUCUCUCGAGCAACUUACCCCAAAUCAACUGGGUUUAUCUCGAACACCAAGUUGCCGCAUGAAGAACAACCUCCUCCUUAUCCCACUUACUCUCUCGAGCUGAGUGUGUGGGAGAAGGACUAGGCUUCACUCUCUCGAGCUGAACCUCAUGUCGACCCAAUCCCACCGGCCAUCAAUUUAGUAGUCUUAGUUUUACGACCUCUCUCUCGAGCAAGCUGAAAACAUAAAUGUGAAAUCGUAUUUGCAACUACAAUUUCAUUAAGUUCCACCACAACUACUAAACGAAAUCACAUCUAGACAACAAAUAAAUCAUCAACAAGCAAGACCCAACAGAUAAUUUAACCCAUAUUCACAAAAUCACACCCCAAGAAUUGGAGUUUUAGCUAGACAUGUAAAAGAGAUAGAAAUUUAUACCAAUAUGAGCUUGCAUUCAAAUGGGUAUGAAGAUUUAAGUCUCAAAACAAUCAAAGAGUGAAGAAUCCACAAGACCCAAGUCCAAAUUCUUGGAGUUGAAACACUUAGAAUCUUCUAGUUCUUUAAAACCCUAUCCAAACUUAGAACUCAAAAUUCUAUGUUAAAAAUUCUAUAUUAAAAAUAUUAUAUUAAGCUACCACUCUCAAUGAGUAUUUAUAGUUUUCAAAAAUAUGUGUUGCAACAGAUCAUUCGGCAUCGUUAGUCGUGAUCACCGAUCAACUCGGCGAUCCACCCUUUGGUAGGUUUUAUCGUCGUCUUUCUCUAUCCUUCAGCAUCAUCAUGUUUUGGAUCAUUGGGCGACAUUGUACUGCUUCGCGGAACUGCUUGGUGACACGCUGACUGCUUCUUUUCACCGCCGAUUUGAUCCUUUCUUUCAGGGUUCAGCACACUGGAACAAAAGGCGAGGAUAAGGACCGUUUGGUGACUCGCCGAACGGGUUCGGCAAUUCACAGAUCUUCAUUUCUUCGUUCUUUUAGCUGCCUUUGUUCCUUUUUGCUAAGUAGUGUCCAUGCUUUCCCUCAAACUCCAAAUACCUAAAACUUAACGGUUUUCAUCAGAUAUUGAGACAAAAUAUGCAUUUGAGGACACUAAUUUUAUACAAAAUACAUACCCUAAAUGAGUCCAAUUUGUGGACUCAUCAACACCCCAACUUAAACUUUUGCUUGUCCUCAAGAAAACUCGAGUUCUGGUGUUCAAAAUGGGUAACUCAAACAAUGCUAUACAAGAAUCAAUCAUAAAUGUAUACAACAAGACUUAACUUACUCAUGCAAGGAUCAAAUGUGCACUCAAAGUUUCAAGUGGUGACAUACCAUUAUCAAAGAAUCUCGAACUCAUAAUACUUGCUUCAAAUGCAAGUUCAAGCUCAACUAUAGUGUUCAAAUGCCCUCACACAAAGAAUGAUCCAUAUUAACACAAUGGUUCACAGUUUAAAGCUUCGGAAUCAUAUGCAACACUCACACUCACAAAGAAGAACACAAUGCAUAAUUUCACCCAUAGUUUUGCCCGUAUUUUCCAAUCAACAUUUGCUUCAGCUCACUCAAGAUCACAAAGGUCUUUCAAGGCUUGUAAUGGGGCUGAGCGCAACUGUAUGGUCAUUUUUAGGCUCAGUGACUUUCAUCCUCAUGAAAUGUGGUGUUCACAACACUUCAUUUCCUUUUCCUUCAUCAUUCUCUUUAGUGCUCAAAAGUCAUCCUAUUAUUCACUCUCCAUGGAUUGUUUGGAAACCCCAUUUAUUUUGUACUUUAUUCCACAACUUUCUUUUUCAUUCUUUUCUUCUCUUUUUUUAAAAAAAUAAUAAUAUUUGGAGGGGUUCCAUUUUUCUCAACACCAUGGGUUAAAGGAGACUUUCCUUGCACUUCUUGACUUGCCCUUAUCUUUUCACCACACCCCCAACUUAGGCUUUUGGCCUAAGUUGGCUGUUCAAUCAACCACAAAUCAAGAGGAUUAUAGGUAGUGGAUUAAGAGAGGUCUAGUUUUCAUCAAGUUUCUUCCAAAGAAAGAGAUAGCAUCACUUAGUUGAUCGGACCAACGGGGCAAAUUCUAGGAUCCAUCAUGCAUAGUUCACAGGUAAGCUCAUCACACUAGGCAUUGACACUAUAAGUGAAACAAGACUCCACACUUUCGCCAGUGUACAACGAUCAUCACAAGAGACUCGAUUUGAUCAUUGGCUAGUCACAACGAGAUGCAAAGAGUUCACAUAUUGUCUAUGCAACUUCAUUUGGCCUCAUUGUAGCCGCACAUUCAUGUUUAUUCGAUUAUAAGCACUAUCCAAGUCAUCGAUAUUGAUCGGAACCGAUACUCAAAUUUGUGAAGGAACAGCCACAUUCAACACACAAGGGGUAGCAAAUUUUUUUUGGAAGGGUCAAAAUCAUUUUGCAAUUUAAAACACGGAGCCACAAGCUCAAACCUUCCACUAAAUAGUGUAUAAAACACAAUUAUAGCUUACAACCCAAAUACAUAAACGAAACAUAAUUCACGAAUAACACACAAAGGUGGGCCUCACCCCACCACAAAUAAAAGAAAUUUGUCCUCAAAUGCAAGUAAUAAAAUAUCUAGAAUGUAAAUUAAAGAAAGACAGAGAAGGAGGUAAAGAGGGGAUCCUGUCUAUGGAGUCUCUCCAUCUGUCUGGGCCUCAGUGCCCGAUGUAGUACUCUGAAUAUGGGCAUCAGUCCCCGAAGUCACCUUAGGGAGAACAACGAUACCGGAUUCACCAAGGUCUGUUGAGUGUGUGUCUGCCAAAAAGAUAUGCACCACUCUGCAAAAUCCCCUGGCCCAUGAUAGAAUAUUAGGGUCCUGGGUAAUGGUCUUCCUGGCAGAAGUGGGCCUUUUGCCCUUGCCUUUCCCAAUAGUUGCGGUCAGUUUCGUAGCUUUGCCUUUCAACGUAGUUGUCUCCUCAUUUAUCGCACUCCCUUUUGACUUCUCUUGUGCUGGUUUUAUUCUUUCCACAACUUUUGAUUUAGUCAUGUCUGCAAAGUCUUGAAGAGAAGUUAGAAAAACUUAAACAAAAGAAAAGCAGAACUUAUGCAGAUAAACUCGCCAAACCAGAUGGCGAAUCGUCGAAUUUCUUAGGCGAGCUAGAUCAGGCUCGCCAAAGGAAUUAGCUCUAACACUGUAGCAAGAAGGUGAAAGGGGAACUUUUUCGGCGGGUCGCCAAUAGUUUUUGGUGAACCAGGAUAGGUCCACCGAAAGUUUCAGUGCAUAAAGGUUCAGGGGUGCAUAUAAAGGGCGAAAGAGAAGACUUUCAGCGAGUCGCCAAAUUCUUUCUACGACAUCAAGCUUCUCGCCAAAAGUUACAAAAUUAAUCAUCAAAUAUAGCAAGAAAUCAAAAGCGAGAUGGGAACAUUAGGCAAACCGCCGAGUGGUUUGGCGAGCUCGACCCAGCUCGCCAAAUGGCCCGACGUGCCUAUUUUCAACCCAACCUCUCGAAUUCAACCCUGCAACUCCCGAAAACAAAAUCAAAACAUGCACCAAUACAAUUAAGGUAGGACCCAUAACACCCAAACACAACCCCUCAAAUUUUAAUCCAAUUUAAGGUAUGCAAUUAUGGGAAUUCAAUAGUCAUAACUACCCGAGCAAGGAUAUCAAAUUAAAUCAUGCACGUAAACAAUCUAAUCCUCCCAGGGAGGAGUAGAACACUUCAACCAGAUUGUGGUAUUGCAAAUGAGUAUAGUUUAUGAUAAAUUAAACUUGGGGCAUAGAGAACUAACAUUUUGUGUCACUAAGGAGAGGAUUGAAAUACUAAGCGGCAAUGCAAUCCAAGUCCGAGCACAAUUUAACAACUAAAAUACUCUAAAAGUUCAAGAAAUAUAGAAACUAGAGUACAGGUGUGAGUUUGGGCAGAUAAAAAGGGAGGGAAAGUGAAUGAAGUUAAAACUUUUCAACCUUUGGCAUGCAAAAACCGUCCAGUUUUCACCCACUCGGCCACAUUAGUCAAGCUCGCCUAAUCACUCGACGGAACGCCGAAUGUUUAGUUUCCUCACCGAAAUUUACAUGUCCUCCAGUUAAUGUGGGGGUCCAAAUCACCAAUUUCCAUCGAGAUCGUUAACAGUGUCGGCGAUGCGCCAAUAAUUUCCUGGGCUCACCAAGUUUUACAGACUCCAAUUUGGAGAUUUCUUACAUUAGACAACAGAUUAGGUCGGGGUCACCGACCUCUUCGGCGAUUCACCGACUGGACCUAUUACUCACCACCCUACACUUUUUCGAACACUUUCCACACUUCGACUUGUACAAAUAACACACCAUUAUUUUACCACAACACAAAUAAAAAGCAUUAAGGGGUUUUGGGUUACCUCCCAAACAACGCCUUAGUUAAUGUCGUGGCACAAUGCAAGUUAAUGCCUUAGUUAAUGUCGGAAUUGGCCAUGGUGUAACUAGGCGAGUCUUCAACAAAUGGUGGAUAGCGACCUGAUAUUAACUGAUUUAUCUAGGCAUCUUGCAACUGAAUUGUCAUGGAGUUAGAGGUUGUCGCUUGAUUCAGCAUGUCGAUGUUCUCUUUCAUCUCAUUCAACAUCUUUUCUUGUUCUUCGAUCUUUUGUUGAAUGUGUGAGAGGAAUCCAUCAUCUUGUACGCCCUCCUUCUUCUUCCCCUUUGUACACUCUCGAAGGGAGAAAUGCUUGUCUUUAUUCAAAGCCUGUGCUUCCAACUCCAUGACUCUUUUGGAUAAAAAAUCCAACUGAGCUAGCAGUGCAUCCCCUUGUUUCUUUUUGGUCUCCUUGUUGGCUUCAACCAUGCCAUCUAGGAGUUCGGCUACGACGUCAUACGGCUAGUGUAGCAUACCACUCGUGAAAGGUUGAUCAACAUUACUUCUAUUAUCGGGUCCAAGACCCCUAUAGAAGCUCUCUAAUAGCACCUUGUUGGUCAUCCCAUGAGUGGGGCAUGGCUGCAGCACUGCCUGAAACUUUAGCCAGAUUUCCUGAAGGUUUUCAUCCUCUACUUGUUUGAAUGUUAGGAGGUUGUCCCUAAGAUUCAACAGUUUCAAGAGGGGGUGAUCCGUUUGAUAACUAUAAUGAUUAUUCGUACUCAUUAUCCUGCUUCUAUACACGAACAAACAAUACAAAACUAAAAAUUAAGUAAACUACGACUAAGAAGAACAAAAAUUCUACUAAUCUAAGAAUUCUCAAAUACACCACUCCCCGGCAGCGGCGCCAUUUUGAUGUUUGCAUAAUCAAGACACAACUUCCAAUGCAAGUGUCUACGAUCAUACAAUAGUAAAGUAACCCAACCAAGGGUUGGGGUCGAGUCCCAAGGUAGUGGUUUUAAGAAUUAAUAGAAAAAUAAAAUUAAGUUCAAAUUAGUCAUAGCUAAAAUAUUAUCGAAUAAGAACAUGUUAAAUCUAAAGGGUGACGCAAACGUCAAAUAUCAAUGGGAGUUUAUCACAAGUAAACAAAAAUCAUCUUAAAUAUAAAGAGUACUAAUCAAGGAGAUGGGAUUCAUGGGAUGUGAUAGGAAUACAAGAUAAAAUAAACUAUUGCGUACAUGCUUUUGAUAAUAAAUCCGUUGAAUAUUUGUGACUAGGCUAGAAUAUAGUGGGGGUAAAUUCUCUCUCAAGCAACUUACCCUGAAUCAACUUGGUUUCUCUCGAACACCGAGUUGCCGCAUGAAGAACAACCUCCGUCUUAGCCCACUCACUCUCUCAAGUUGAUUGUGUGGGAGAAGGACUAGGGUUCACUCUCUCGAGAUGAACCUCAUGUCGACCCAAUCCCACCGGCCAUCAAUUUAGUAGUCUUAGUUUUACGACCUCUCUCUCGAGCAAGCUGAAAACAUAAAUGUGAAAUCGUAUUUGCAACUACAAUUUCAUUAAGUUCCACCACAACUACUAAACGAAUCACAUCUAGACAACAAAUAAAUCAUCAACAAGCAAGACCCAACAGAUAAUUUAACCCAUAUUCACAAAAUCACACCCCAAGAAUUGGAGUUUUAGCUAGACAUGUAAAAGAGAUAGAAUUUAUACCACUAUGAGUUUGCAUUCAAAUGGGUAUGAAGAUUUAAGUCUCAAAACAAGCAAAGAGUGAAGAAUCCACAAGACCCAAGUCCAAAUUCUUGGAGUUGAAACCCUUAGAAUCUUCAAGUUCUUCAAAACCCUCUCCAAACUUAUAACUCAAAAUUCUAGGUUAACAAUACUAUAUCAAAAAUCUGAUAUUAAGCUACAACUCUCAACGAGUAUCUAUAGUUUUCAAAAAUCUGUGCUGCAGCGGAUCAUUUGGCAUCGUUAGUCGAGAUCGCCGAUCAACUCGGAAAUCAGCCAUUUGGUAGGUUUCAUCGCCAUCUUGCUCUAUCCUUCAGCAUCAUUAUGUUUUGGAUCAUUGGGUGACAUAGUACUGAUUUGCAGAACUGCUCGGCGACAUGCGGACUACUCCUUUUCACCGUCAAUUUGAUCCUUUCUUUCAGGGCUCAGUAUACCGGAAUAAAAGGCGAGGAUAAGACCUUUUGGCGACUCACCGAACGGGUUCGGCGAUUCUCAGAUCUUCAUUUUUUCAUUUUUUCAGCUUCCUUUGUUCCUUUUUGCUAAGUAGUAUCUAUGAUUUCCCUCCAACUCCAAAUACCUGAAACUUAAGGGUUUUCAUUAGAUAUUGAGGCAAAAUAUGCAUUUGAGGACACUAAUUUUAUCAAAAUACAUCCCUAAAUGAGUCCAAUUUGUGGACUCAUCACUAACUCUGGACCUAUAUCAUUUUGUAGGAAGUACACCUCCUUCGUCAAGCUGGUUAAGUAGGAAAAUUUAUAAGCAAAUUAUCCGAAGAACACUUGACAUGUUAAAAGAGUAACAAGGCAUACGAUAUUAUUUACGUCCAUUACAAAAUACAUAACUAACUUAAGAUUUUCAGAUAUAGUGUCAAUGAACUGAUUUUUUAAACUUUACUUAACUUUAUCAACAAUAACAAAAAGAAUUAAUAAACUUCAUCGUCAACUAUAGGGUCCUGCAUAGAGAGGACUUCUUGUACCCACUGUAAGCCAUAUGGAUGGGAUCCAUUCUUGACUUGCAUACAAUGUUGUGAAAGGAGACAAGGCUAGGUGAGGCGAGGUUGUAACACCUAAUUACAGUGAGGCGAGGCGAAUUUAAAUACGCGAUGGCGAUGCGAGGGGGAAACUCCUUUUAUUUGUUUUAAAAAAAAGUCUGACUUCAUAAUAUUAGUCAAAAUUAGGGUUUUCUGCAAACUUUCAUUCUCCAUCGCAGGUCACACCUGCCUCUUCUACUCUUCUCCUCAGCCACAAGUCGCGAUUGCUUCUUCUAUUCUUCUCCUUCAUGCGAGUCGCGUCUACUGCCAGGUAUGACUACGAGACCUCUUUUUUUUCUUCUUUCUUUUUGGUUCUUCUCUACUUCUUCUUCUUCUUCAAACAAUUCUCUUCUUCUACUUCUGCUUCUUUUCUCUUUUUUCUUUUCAAUUUUUCUCGUUUCUUCUUCUUCAGUCAGUCAGUUGAACAGUGAACUGAGUGCUCUGUUUUGUUGCUCACCGCUGUCUAUAUUUUUUUUUAAAUUAAAAUUUAAUCCUUUUAUAAUUAUUUCUCCCUUAGUUAAUUUAGUCUUAUACUAAUUAAUAUAGUAUUUAUUUGUUCAUAAAUAGUGAAUUCAAUGGUAUCGGAUGGUAGCAAAAAGAGGAACAUGGAUGGAAUUAUGGUACUCAAGGAUCAACAAAAGAUUUAGUUAAAUGUAUUUUUUGUGACAGUACUUUUAAUGGUGGUAUUACUCGACCCAAACAACAUUUAGUGGGUGGUUACAAAAAUGCAGAACAAUGUCCAUCUUGUUCUUCAGAGAUUAGAGAUGAAAUAACGGCUUUUAUGGAAAAUAAAAUGGCUAGUAAUCCGAAAUUUCAAGUGAGGCAGCAAGAAGAAUAUGUUAAUAUCGAUGAUGAUGAUGAUAUGGAUGAGUAUGGUGAAAUGAUGCCUCCCUCCAAAACUCCAAAGAUGUCUUCUACUGGAGGUGCAUCAUCCACAACACGAAACGUGAUGAAAGGCCCUAUGAAUCUCUAUUUUCCACAAAAAUCACAACAAAACGAAGGCAUUGAAAAAGGAGCAGGAAUUGAUGAAACCAAGAAAAUUCUAAGAGAGCGUGUGGUAAGUGCUUUUGCAUUAUGGAUGUACGAUGCAAUGCUCCCUUUUAAUUGUGUCAAUUACAAAUCAUUUGAUAAGUUCAUUGAGGCAGUAGCACAACAUGGCCCCGGAAUGAAGCCUCCUACAUUCCAUGAAGUUAGUGUUACCCAAAAAGAAGAGGUGAGUAAAGUGGAAAAAAUUGUUGAUGAGCAUAAAGUGCAAUGGACAAAGUUUGGAUGUUCCAUUAUGAUGGACAAAUGGACGGCACGAAAUGGUAAAAUGAUCAUCAAUAUUUUGGUGAAUUCUCCAAUCGGUAGUGUAUUUCUUCGUUCUGUUGAUGCUAGCAAUGAUACCAAUUCCACCAAAAUGUACAACUUGUUUGAAAGCACUAUUAAAAGAAUUGGAUCGGGAAAUGUUGUACAAAUUGUCAUCGAUAAUGCUAGUGAGAAUGUUAAAGCGGGAAGCAUGAUGAUUGGUGCAUACCCACAUAUUUAUUGGACUCCAUGUGCUGCUCAAUGCAUCAACUUGAUAUUUGGUGACAUAUUCAAGAUUAAUCAAUAUGCUUCCGGUAAUAUCACUCUCCUAUCCUCUAACUUUGUUUAUAGUCAAUAUUUAAUACUCAUUCGCUACUAAUUACUAUAAUAUUACUUUAAUAGUUUUUAAGAAGGCCAUCAAAAUUCAUUCUUACAUUAGUCAAAGGCCGUUGUUAAACUUGAUGAGAAGCUUCACCAUAGCUAGUCUGUGGGAGGAGUAUCAUGCAUGUGUUGAGAAGAUGAACCCCGAUAUAGCAAUACAAGAUUAACUAGUCGCUAUCUUCCUAGGUACAAAAUGGCGGAAGGACUAUUUGGUUGUGGUCAGGCUAAAAGAGCAAAAGACACAAGGUCACCGGGUAAGUGAGUUGAUUUAGCUCUAACUUAAAUUAUUUGACCUAUUUAUACUCAUUAACCUUUAAAUUUAUUUUAUUAUAGUUCAAUGGUGGUCAAUAUUGGUAGUCAAACACCAAACAUGCAAAAGUGAGCCAUGAAAGUAUUAAGCCUAACUUGUAGCUCAUCUGGAUGUGAGCGAAAUUGGAGUGUGUUUGAACACGUAAGAAAAAUAUUUUAUAUCCUAAUUUUCAUAUUAUAUUAUUAUUAGUAUCUAUUAGUUAAUAACUUAAUAACUAUAACUUAAGAGCGGAUUCAUUCCAAAAAGAGGAACGUGCUUGCACUAUCGCGUCUCAAUGAUCUAGACAUCUAGUGUACAUUAAGUACAAUAGAACAUUGAAACACCGUUAUGGUGCUCGUGAUAACAUUGAUCCAAUUCUCUUGGAUAACAUUGAUGAUUCAAAUGAAUGGUUAGUUGGAUUCCCUGAAGAUCAAGAAGAUGAACUAGUAUAUGAGGAAGGUUAUCUUACUUGGGGUAGCAUUUUCUAAGGCAAGUAGAGCUUACGAGAGUAUCUAUCAUCUUAGGGGACUUUUUUAAAGAUCAAGAGCACUUGACAAAGGCAAAGGAGUACAUACUACAUCUACAAGUUCAACUUCAAUUAGGACUCAGACUCUAAUUGAUGAAGAAUCCGAGGGGGGAGAAGAUGUGGAGCAAUAUAAUAAUGAUAUAGAGGAUGUUGAUCUUCAAGAGUUGAAUAAUUUUGAAGAAGAACAGACUUUUAGAGUUCUGGUAUUGCUUGUAAAUUGUCUUUUGAAUUAUUGGGUUUUUAAAGUUCUAGAUUUUUAGUAUCUACUAUUAGUUUUUCAAUUGAAAUAGUUGCUAAUAUAUAUUAUUGCAUUUGAGGUUUUGGAUAUUUAAAUAUGCAAUUAAAUAUUUUUAAUUUUUUGUAUUAAUUGGCGCCUCAAUUCAAACACGCGAGCGCCUCGCCUCUCACCUCGUCGCGAGGCGAGGCAGGCCCUUGUCGCCUUUUGUCACGUUUCGCUAUCCAAAACACUGCUUGCAUACAACCCUAAGUAAUUAAACAAAGAUUAUCUGAAGGCUCAUCCUCAGGCCUCAGUGAAGGCCCUUAUUCAAAAAAGAGAAUUAUCGGAAUUGUGAGACUAUUGGCCUUUAUAUCCUUUUAAUCCAGUCAAAAGAAAAUAUAAAUCUUAUUUUUAUAAGAAUUGGAAGAGGAAAAGGAAGAAUGAUAUAAACAUUUCCUACAUAUUGUUGAACAAUUCUAGAGUUUCACUAUGAGUUGGGUAAGUGAUUCAUUGCUAGAGAAACCAAUAAUGGGUCUACUUACAAACUCACGUUCACUAUAGUCAAGCUCGUAAUUUGAUUAUUGGUCUAGGCAACCAAAAAAGACCAUAGAAAACUAAGAAUAUACAAUCAUAAGAUAGCAAUAAAUCAAAUUUUGAAACGUAUGCAAAUAGAGGAAAAACCUUUCUCCUUUGACAGAAAGUACACCAGCUAUGAGAUCACUAUAACCGGAUAUGAACAUAGUAGUUGAAUGCACCACAAUAUCUACAAAACCAUGGACAAGUAAGCUAACAUUCAAUGCAUGUUAUUGGAGAGUAUUCCAGUUAGCUGAACAAAAAGAAUUUGCAAAAUACCUGCUCUGAGCUCCAAAGGAUGGGACAAUACUUUGGAGAUAAUGUUGUUAUCUACUAGCACAAGAGCCCCAUGUGCAUGAGCCAUCUUGGCAAUUUCUGUGAUGAGUCAAAAGAGACAACAAUAUGAGACAAACAAUCAUUAUCUUUUGAAGAUCUAUAGAUUACUAUCUAUCAGCAAUCGUAAAAGCUGAAAAUUGUACGUGCGUAGUCUACAUAUGCAAUUGUCAAUCACCCACAUGAAUAUCACAAAUUUGUUUAUAAGGGUUUGUUGGACUUUCCUGCCAAACAAGCUUUGUCCAUAGUUUAAUCACAAAAGCAACCUCAUCUAAGUUAGCGGUAUCCACUCGCCUGUACAAAUAAGAUAACAAUCAAGAUUCUAAUAACCUAACAAACAACGUAGUUACAUUGACAAUCAUGACUCAGGAAGUUGGGUCGUGACUCAGGAAGUAGGGUCGGACACAUAUAUACUUUAGUUGAGUUGGAUAUGAAACACUCCAACACACUAUAUCCUCGUCUUUCCGUUAGAUUUAGAGUAAGAGGCUCCAUGUCUAUGUUAUUUUGCCUAUGCUUCUUAUUGGUAGUUCACUUUUCCCCUAUCCUUGAGUGCGCUAGUGUCAAGCAAAUUGCUUAUGCUUCCAUCUCUUUAUGCAUUGCUUAUUCUUAAGGUUUUCUAUUAGAUGUGGUAUUCAAAAAGUAACAUUGUUUUGGAACUUAUAUGGUUUUCGUUCUCUAUAGAAUAUGGUUUCUGCCUUACCAAAGCAAAAGAAAUAGCUGCACAUUUACUAUUAUCAACAGGGAAAAAAUUUCUGAGAAGGCAAAUAUCAUUAGGAAGUAGUUUGAUAGGAAAAAAUGAUCACAGAAAAUAGAAAUUGAGCAUAGGAUGAAACUAACAAAAACUUAUUGUAAUGCUGAAGUACUUGGUACCCUAGCAACAUGCUUAAAGAGUGGCACAAAAUCAUUUAGUAAACUUAGCAUUGAUCAUACACCCAUAUCAUGCAAAUUGAUCAACAUUUAAACAGUAAGUCUCUAUUGAGAGCUUCAUGAUGGUAGGACAUUGACAACCAUAGCGCCUUAAUUUAAAUUCCCCAAAAAAUCACUUGUUUGAAAAUGUGAGAGAAGUGCGAUGACUUCCUUGGAUGGUCUAGAAGACUUGGAUAAAUGAGCUUCCCUCGUGAAUGGGAGGAUAAGUAUUCAGCAAUUUUUGUGCAUUCUCCUACAAGAUAUUGAAAUUAAUUAGCUAGAACACUAUGAUGUGCCAGAAUUUUACGAACCACCCAAACUUCUCUGGACAAUAUUAUGAUGGAGAUGUAACACUAUGCAUGCCAUAAUCAUUAAAAUCUAUAAGGUCAAGAAUAAUAGAUUAACAAAGGUGUAGGAAGGCAUAUAUGUUUCUCGAACGAGUGGUGGGACAACUAGUUUCACCACCAAAAUAAGCAAAUAAAAUUAAACCUGUUGUUUUUCAAUGCGAAGAGCCAUUGUUUUGAUUCCUCUCAAACAAAGCUAAAAUUGAAUGGCGCUAACCUAGGACCUUCAGCAUUUUGUAGGAAGUACACCUCCUUCACCAAGCUGGUCAUGUAGGAAAAUUUAUAAGCAAAUUAUUAGAAGGACACUUGAGAUGUUCAAAGAGAAACAAGGCAUCAGACAUCAUUUAUGUUCAAUACGCUAAACAUAACUAACUAAUGAUUUUCCGAUAUAGACUUGUCAAUGAACCGAUUUCUUAUACUUUACUUAACUUUAUCAACAACAACAAAAAGAAUUCUUAAACUUCAUGGCCAAUUAUGAGGGCAGCCAGUGCAUUGAGGAAAAUAAUUUUAAUGUCACGAAAUAUUGCACAAAUUUGUGCAUUACAGGUGUAUAUGAUGCUGCAUAGUAGUUGAAUGCAUCACAAUAUCUACAUAACCAUGGACAAGUAAGCUAACAUCUGAUACAUGUUAUUUGAGAGUAUUCCAGUUAGCAGAACAAAAAAGUAUUUGCAAAUUACCUGCUUCGAGCUCCAAAGGAUGAAAAAGUACUAGGGAUACAAUGUUGUUAUCUACUAGCAUAAGAGCCCGAUGUGCAUUAACCAUCUUGGAAAUUUUCUAUAAUAAAUCAGAAAAGACAAUACUAUGAGACAAAAAAUUAGAAAAGAUGAUACAAUCUCGGAAAUUUUCUGUAAUAAACCAGAAAAGACAAUACUGUGAGACAAACCAAUCAUUAUCUUUUGAUGAUCAAUCAAUAUAUAUUAUCUAUCCUCAUCAGUAAAAGUUGAAAACUAUACAUGCAUAAUCCACAUAUGACUUUGUCAAUCACCAGCAAGAAUAUCACAAAUUUGUUUAUGAGUGUUGGUCAGAAAUUUUGUGAAUGGUUUAAUCACAAAAGCAACCUCAUCUAAGUUAGUGGUAUCCACUCGACUAUACAAAUAAUAUGACAAUCGAGAUUCUAAUAACCUAAUUGAAAACAAAGAUACACCGACAAUAAAAAUUCUAAUCACUGUCCCCUCCGCGUUGGUGGAGGAGUGUUGCGUUACUUGACGUUCUGGAUACGGGUUGGCUUACCUACUGGUGGGCUAUAUUAGGUGCCAUCAUGACUCGGGAAGUCGGGCCCUGACUCAAAUAUACUUUAGUUGAGUUGGAUAUGAAAUAGUCCAAAACACUAUCUCCUCGUCUUUCUGUUAGAUUUAGAGUAAGAGACUUCAUGUCUAGGUUAUUUUGCCUAUGCUUCUUAUUGGUAGUUCAGUUUUCCGCUAUCCUUGAUUGCGCUAGUGUCAAGGAAGAAUUACUAUGCUUCCAUCCCUCUAUGUAUUACUCAUUCUUAAGGUUUGCUAUUAGAUGUGGUAUUCAAAAAUAAACAAGGCAUUACGUUUAAUACGCUAUACAUAAGUCAUAACUAACUAAAGAUUUUCAGAUAUAGAUUUGUCAAUGUACUAAUUUCUUAAACUUUAACUUUAUCAACAACAACAAAAAGAAUUCUUAAACUUCAUGAUCAAUUAUGUUUCAAUUAGAAAAUGCAAUGAGGAUAAUCAUCAGAUUACCUAGAAAGGAUACUUCACCAGUUUAGGCAGAUUUGCCAACUGUUGCAGAACCUGAUGACUAGAAAUCCUUCUUUUCAGUGAAGCGCACCCAAGAAGAUGGAGAGCAACAACAAAUAAAUGCAUACUAUUUUUAGAAGAAUUUUGACUUGUGACGCUACUUAUCUGCCCACGGUGUUUACCACCUUUCAGUUGCUGAAUGUCCCCAGAUUUCCACUCAAGUAAACUUAGUACAGUUGAUGCGACAACCAUCCCAAGUGCAUCCAAACAUUGUUUAACAACAUCAUUCUUCUCCUUAACCAACCUAUCAAUGGUUUAGAGCAAUUUAGAAUUGCAAAACAAUAGUGGCAACCACCUCUUCCCAUUCAUACAAAGUAGAGCCACAGAUAUGAGUACCUUUCCCUUCAAAACUUCACUUCCCUACUCAAUUAAUUAGAGUCAACAGAUGAAGAACAAGAUUCUUGCCUUUGACCAAGGCAAGAUGGUACCUUUCACAAAUUUAAUUAGGGAAAUUUGUGGUUGUCUAUUUUGAUGAUAUCUUGAUCUAUAGCAAAACCAUGCAUGAUCAUGUUGAGCAUUUGAAAUGUGUGUUUGAUGUGCUUAGGAAGGAACAACUUUAUGCUAAUCUUGAGAAGUGAUCAUUUUAUGUUGAUGAAGUUGUUUUCUUGGGUUUUGUUGUGAGCUCAAGAGGGGUGGAGGUUGAUGAGUCUAAAAUAGACGCUAUUAAGAAUUGGCCAAUUCCAAAAUCCAUAAGCGAUGUUAGAAGCUUUCAUGGGUUGGCUAGUUUCUAUAGGUGGUUUGUCAAAGGUUUUAGUACCAUAGCAGCCCCCUUGACCGAGGUAAUCCGAAAGGAUAAACCUUUAAAGUGGGGAGAGGAGCACGCCAAAUAUUUUGAGGCUUUAAAAUCCAUGCUUAGCUCCACUCCGUGGUUGCAAUUACCUGAUUUUGAUAAAAUGUUUUAGGUGGAAUGUGAUGCUAGUAAAGUAGGCAUUGGAGCUGUCUUAAUGCAAGACCAAAAACCCAUUGGUUAUUUUAGUGAAAAGCUAAAAGGUGCUACUUUGAAUUAUUCCACCUAUGAUCUUGAAUUGUAUGAUUUGAUUAGAGCAUUGGGUAAUUGGCAGCACUACUUGUGGCCCAACAAAUUUGUCAUUAGGACUGAUCAUGAGUCCCUAAAGCAUAUUCAGGCCCAAGGGAAGUUGAACAAGAGACACGCCAAAUGGAUUGAAUUCCUUGAAACUUGCCCUUAUGUAAUCCAAUACAAAAAAGGGAAGGAAAAUGUGGUGGCCGAUCCCUUGUCUAGAAAACAUGUGUUGAUAAAUACUUUGUCUUCUAAGUUGAUUGGUUUUGAAUAUUUGAAGACAUUGUAUCCCAUGGAUCCCGUGUUUGCUCAAAUCUUCAAAGAUUGUGAGGAAUGAGAGAGGGAAAGGUGGAUGAGUGAUAGAUCUUCUACUCCCUAUUCCAAGUUUGAUGGUUCUUGUUCAAGGGCAAGAGACUUUGUGUGCCUAUGAGCUCUUGGAGAGAACUAUUUUUGAGGGAGGCACACGAUAGGAUAUUAAUGAAUCAUUUUGCUAUUGAUAAAGCUAGGGGAAUUCAUGAGGAACAAUUCUAUUGGCCAAAAAUGCAAGGAUGUUGUUCGAAUUUGUGGUCAAUGUGUUGAAUGUCGAUGUGGUAAGUCACGCCUCCUUCCCCAUGGUUUAUACACUCCCCUCCCUACCCCUCAAAGACCUUGGCUUGAUAUUUCCAUGGAUUUUGUUUUGGGUUUGCGGAGGACAAAAAGAGAUAGAGAUAGCAUCUUUGUUAUUGUUGAUCGAUUUUCAAAGAUGGCUCAUUUCAUUCCAUGUCAUAAAUUUUUCUUCCAAUGUGGCAUCUUUGUUUGUUGAACAUGUUGUUAAAUUGCAUGGAAUUCCUCAAACCAUUGUAAGUGCUAGGGAUCCAAAAUUCCCUAGUCACUUUGGGAAGGAAUUGUGGGGUAGACUUGGUACCAAAUUGUUGUUUUCAACUUCUUGUCACCCGCAAACCGAUGGCCAAACUGAAGUUGCGAAUAGGACCUUGGGUUCUAUGCUUCGUGCUAUGGUGCAUGGAAAGUUGGCUUCAUGGGAGGAACAUUUGCCUUUAGUUGAAUUUUCUUAUAAUAGAGUUAUUCAUAGAACUAUUGGUAUGACUCCUUUUGAAGUGGUUUUUGGUUUUAAUCCCGCAACCCCUUUAGAUCGCACUCCUCUUUAUCAAGAUCUUGUGUUAAGCUUAAAUGGGAGCAAGAGAGCUGAAGAAAUGAAGAAGCUUCAUGAAAAGGUGCGGCUGCAUUUAGAGAAGAAGAACCAAGAAGUAGCCAAAAAGGGUAACAAGGACCACAAGAGGCUUUUUGUUUUCCAUCCCUUUUCCAAUCUUUCUUUUCUUCCUUCUCAUUCGCAUGGACAAAAGGAUCUACUUCAAAUUAGGGGGGAAAUUAUAUGAUCUGAUUGAAACUAGAUCAACCACAGAUUUUUGGUAUGAAUGGGUGGAGAGUGCAAGGCUACAUAUGAGAAGGAUGAAGCUUAGCAGGGGUGCACUCCUAUGGUUAUGCAAUAGAGUCAAAGAUGCUUCAUCCAUUAAAGGGAAACCAUUUAAGACCUGUAAAUGCAAAGAUGCAACUAUCAGCAUUUACUGUACCUUAAAGUACAAUAGAUAUGGAAAGUUUAUCUCUGUUGUCUCAGUAAAUGGCCUGGCCUAAACAAUGAUUAUUUUACUAGAAAGCUCAUUCAAUGAAGGAUAGGGGGACUUGUCUUAAAGAUAGGCAGGAGUACAAGUCUCUAUUACAGAGCAAGGAGGUCCCACUUCUAUGGGACUCAGGGGAAAUGAUAGUUACAAAGAAAUUAUACAAAGAAAGAAAUGGAGUGCUGGAGAGUAGAGCUUGACUCCUUUCUCUGAAGGAGAAAAAGGACCCCUUAGUAAAUGUUUGGUGGGGAAAUUCCUAGGGUGCGAUGAGAUAGCCACCCGGAGUGAGGUUAUGAGCUAGGCGAAAAAGGCAUGGAUGGGCAUCCACAAUCUGCAGAUCUAUGACAUGAAUUGAACUCAAUUCCUAUUUGAGUUUCAAUCGAGCCGAGAUAUAGAGCACAUACUCAUGGGAGAGUGGGGUCGAAAAAAUCAUCUUCUGCUUCUAUAAUGGUGGACAUUAACGGCAGAAUCUUUUUCGGCACAAACAAACUUUGAGUGGUUCUAGGUGCGUAUCCUAGGUCUACCAUUGUAGCUUUGGAAUGACAAAGUGAUGAAACAAAUUGGAGAUCUUUGUGGGGGAUGGCUGGACACGGAGGAAGAGACUUAAUUGAAAAAUCAUCUACGAUGGUCUCGAAUCCGAGUGCAGGGAUCGAGAGAGAAAAUUCCUUCUUCAGUGGGGCUUAAUGAUGGUGAACUCAUAUUUACACUGCCGUUAUGGGUUGAAUCUCCGGCCAGAUACCGGAGGAAGGAAAGGGAUGAGCCCAAUAAUCGAGGCAGCAAUAUGAGGAGUGAGAAAGGAAAGUCUAUAGAAAACCCUAAUCUACAGUUGAUAGAGAUAGAUGACAGAAUAGGGAAAUCUUUUUCGAAAGAUUGUCCAGUGGUCCUUAGCAAGGAAUCUGGCACUUUUACUAGUAGGAGCCACAUGACCCUUGAAGGAAAUGUGUCAACACAUGUGCAUGGAGUUGACCCAGACAGUCACAAUAAUUUUAUAGGGCAGAAAAUUUGUGGGAAUUGUUGUGGGCCUAUUAAAGCCCAAACCCGUGAUAGCCCAAAUUUCAUUAAAGGGAAAAGUGUUGAUCCCAUUUUAAAAUUUCCUCAAAUAAGUCAAGAAUACACUUUUUUUUCUCGAAAUUCUCCUAAUAACACAGAGCUGGAGUCUGUUAUGAGAAUGAAGAUCAAGAAAAUACAUGGAAGCCAGAAUUCAAGCGAAGAACAUGAGGAAAUUAACAUGCAGAGUGAAGGAAGAAGAGAGAAAAAUGACCUAAUUACCCUCUCUACGGAAAAUGCACAUGAAAAUCGGACUGGAGAAAACAAAGUCAGUUGUCAAUAGGACAUAUUAGAAUAUAUGAGGUGCCAGUGCCAAUUUGGAUGGAAGAACCUUUGUCGGAGCAUGAAAUCGAGGACAAGGCUACUAUCUGGGUGCAAACCAAUGUCCUAAAAUUUAGCAGGAUGUUUGGCGCAGCCUUUGAAGGAUGUGAUAAAAUAGCUUUUGACCUUUUUAUGAAGAUAGCUAAAAAAAGGGGGUUAUUAGAUCAAAAGAAGGAGGCGAACAAAAAAUACACCAAGUAGAACUCUAUUCCUAAAGAACUCAGGAACCUUGAAUUCCAUGUAAAUUUUAAGGAUGGGGAACCUAGAGGUAGGGGGAUAAUAACACCCCUGUUACUCAAAUGAAGAUAAAAAUCAAAUUUUGGAAUGUGAGAGGGUUGAAUGAGAGGGGGGGGGCGGGUAAAAGGUGCUUGGUUAGAGGUUUAACUAAGCAAUGGGGAGCUGAUGUUUAUGUCUUUCUUGAGACAAAACUGAUGGGAGGGGAUGCUAUUUUAUUAGGAGAACUUCAUUUAGAUGUUGUGGGAAGAAGUGGAGGGAUAGUGGUGAAGUGGGAUAAGAGGUACUAGAAGGGGGAGUUGGUAAGGGUAGGAGGGAAAAUGCUUACAUGUAAAUUGAUAGGCAUAGAACAACAUCUUUCUUGGUUUCUAAGUGUUGUCUAUGCUGACUAUAACAUAGUGAGCAGAAUGGAACUAUGGAAGGACCUAACAACAAUUAGAGAUUCUUGUGAUGGGCCAUGGGUUGUGUGCGGUGACUUCAACAUCACUAGGACUCCUAAUGAGAGAACCGGCACUCAAAGUCUAUUUGAGACAAUGGCAGAGUUCAUUGAUUAGAUUAAUGAGAUGGACUUAAUUGAUCCUCCUUUAUUUGGAGGAUCUUUUACUUGGAGAAGCGGGGAAAACCACACAAUGGCGUCAAGAAUAGACAGAUUCCUAUAUUCUAGUCGAUGGGAGGAGUUGUUUCAACAAAUCAGACAGAGUGCUCUUCCGAGAGUAGGUGCAGAUCACAACCCCUUCCUCUUGUAUUGUGGAUAAUGGACUCCAAGGAAAACCUAUUUCAAUUUUGAACAAUGGUGGAUAAGAGUGGAGGGUUUCAAGGAGAAAGUCAUAGAAUGGUGGACAUCCUUUUUAGCUUCCUAUAUGCUGGCACAAAGUUGAAGAUGUUUAAAGGUAAUCUAAAGGAAUGUGGGUUUGAAAACAGAGGUAACUGGAAGAAGGGAAGACAUCCUGAAUCAAAUAGCCAACCUUGAAGAAAUCCAGGAACAAAGACCACUAAAUGAGGAUGAGAUACUUCACAAAGUCAAUCUCACAAACGUGUUUGUAGAAGUGUCUAGGAAUAAGGAAGUAGCAUGGAGAAAGAGGUCAAGGGUAUAAUGGUUGAAACAAUGGGAUAAGAAUACCAAAUACUUCCACACAUUUUGCACAACCCACAGAAGAUAUAACACAAUUGAAAAAAUAGAAGUGGAAGGGGUAACUAUCACUAAACCAGAAGAGAUCAAGCAGAUGAUUGUAAGCAUUUAUCAAAAGCUUUAUAAGGAACCAGAGCAAUGGAGACCAUGUUUAAACUUUCAGGGAUAUGAAGGAGUCAAUGAAGAAGAGAAUGUUUGGUUACAUAGACAGUUUGAGGAAGAGGAAGUUCUAGAAGCACUCAAGUUGUGUGCUAGUGACAAGGCCCCGGGCCUAGAUGGUUUCCCUAUGAGUUUCUACCAGACUUCUGGGAAAUCAUGAAGGUAGAUAUCAUGAAUACAAUGCAACAGUUCCAUGAUCAACAUGUUUAUGAAAAGAGUUUGAAUGCAACCUAUAUAGCUCUAAUCCCUGAGAAAGUAGGAGCUGUUGAAUUAAGAGACUUCAUAUUUAUUAGUUUGAUAAGUGGAAUCUACAAAAUAAUUGCCAAACUUUUAGCAGAAAGACUUAAAAGGUGUUAAGCAAGCUAGUCAAUAAACAUCAAACGACCUUCAUCAAAGGGAGACAUCAUUGACGCAACUUUGAUAGCAAGUGAAUGUGUUGACUCAAGAAUUAAAGGGGACGAUCUUGGCAUUAUGUGUAAAUUGGACAUAGAGAAGGCAUAUGAUCAUGUAAACUGGAAAUUCCUGUUCAAAAUUCUAGAGUAGAUGGGUUUUGGGGUAAAAUGGUCUAUGUGGAUUGGCUUAUGUAUAAAAGCCGUUAGGUUCUCCAUUGCAGGUUUUUUCCGUCAGAAAGAUUACUCAGGCAGGGAGAUCCACUCUCUCCUUUCCUGUUCAUCUUAGCCAUAGAGGGUUUUAACAGCAUGAUGAGAGUGGCUAUUCAAAAUCGUUGGAUAAGAGGAUUUGUGAUUGGCUAUCUUUCAGGGGAUGAGAUGCAAAUUUGUCAUCUAUUAUAUGCAGAUAAUACAAUCAUAUUCUGUGAAGAAAAGGCAAGUUUGAUUUCAUUCAUAAGGAUUACGUUUGUGAUAUUCGAGGCAGUUUCUGGGAUAUCAAUAAAUUAGAGGAAAAGCUGCAUAUUUCCCAUUAAGGAGGUUCCUCAAAUACAAAGUUUGGCAACUAUUUUGCGGUGCAGAGUAGAGCAGCUUCCAAUGCCCUAUUUAGGCAUCCCACUGGAGACAAUUACAAGGAGUUAGAAAUAUGGGAUGGCAUCAUUGAGAAGACUGAAAAGAGAUUGGCUAACUGGAAAGCCCAAUACAUCUCAUUAGGAGGGAGAGUUACUUUGAUAAACUCUAUUUUGGACUCACUGCCUACUUAUGUAAUGUCACUGUUUCACAUCCCUUCUAAGCUGGAAGAAAGGCUUGACAAGCUAAGAAGAUAUUUUUUGUGGUUGGGAAACAAAGAAGUAAAUGGCCGACAUUUAGUUAAUGGAAGGUUGUACAACUUCACAAGCAGUCAGGUGGACUUGGAAUCAGAACUCUGAGAAUUCAAAAUACAUGUCUUCACUCAAAGUGGCUAUGGAGGUUUACCAGUGAAACACAUGAUUUGUAGAGAUAGGUGAUAGUAAGCAAAUACGGUAUGGAUGGAAAAUGGUGCUCCAACUUAGUGAACGACAUCUAUGGAGUUUCAAUAUGGAGAACCAUUAGGAAGUUGUGGCCUAAUCUAAUCAAAAUAUAGACUAUAAAGUGGGAACUAGAACCAAGACUUCAUUCUGGAAUUUGUCGCUAAUGUUUGGUCCCAACAGGAAUGGAACAUUAUGUUUAGAAGAUUCCUUAAUGAUUGGGAUAUUGGUAGAGUCGUUGCUUUAUUACAAAUAUUGGAUGGGUUUACAGGGACAACAAUGGAGGAAGACUCUAUUAGAUGGAGACAUAGUAGUGAUGGGGUGCUAUCAGUUAACAGAUGAUAUAUCAAGGAAGUGAAAGAGUUUCAAGGUGGUAAGAUUGGUCCCUCGAACCAGAUAUGGAAAACCAAGGUAACAGCCAAGGUGAAGUGUUUCUCCUGGCUGGUGGCAAGGAAAUGUUGCUCCACUCAUGAAAGAUUAAAGAAGAGAGGCUUUCACAUUGCUUCUUGGUGCUCCCUAUCUAAUGAAGUUGAGGAAACUAAUAGACACUUGUUCCUAUAUUGCAGAGUGACAACAUUAUUAUGGAACUUAUUUUUAGGCCUAACACAAACAGAGUGGACAAUGCCGUAACACACAACAGAUUUACUCAAUUGCUAGAUCAGAAGAGGGGGGAGUUUUACUCAGAAAAAAUGGUGGAGUAUGAUUCCAUCAUGCAUAUGGUGGUCCAUAUGGAACGAGAGAAACAAUAGGUUUUUCGAAAACAAGGCUAAUACUUUUGAUAAGGUUAAAUGGUUGGGUAUGACAACCUUUUAUUUUUGCUGUAAAGAAGAAGGAAUAGAUCAAAAUGCACAAAUUUAUAGAUUUUAUAAAAAAUAUGUAAUGUAGUAGUUGUUUUGUCUUAGAUUGAAAUGAUGUAAAUGUUUUGGAGGUCUCCAGCAUGUCCUUAAUGCUGAUGAAUACAACCUUACCCUUAUAAAAAAAAAGGGACCACAAGAGGGCUGUGUUUGAACCAGAUGAUUGGGUGUGGGUACAUUUUUGCAAGGAAUGAUUCCCCACUCAUCGCAAGACGAAAUUGAUGCCAAGAGGUGAUGGACCAUUUCCGGUGCUUGAAAGACUCAAUGUCAACACCUACAAGGCUAACCUUCCUCUAGAGUAUCAAGUGCAUAACACUUUCAAUGUGUGCGACCUGUCACAAUUCCCAACAGUUGAUGAUGAUGAUCCGUCGAAUUUGAGGACAAAUUAUUUUCAAGAAGGAGAGAAUGAUGUAAUCUGGAUACAUCAAUAUCAUACACACGGAGUCAAGCUCGAGACCUUCACAAAAUGCAAGGUUUAUUCAUAAAGUUAGAGGUCUUUGAGCUCAUGUUGAUGGCAAACAAAGGGUUCCAUGCCUUGAAGAUUGCUUGAGGAGAUGCUACUACUUUUGGCGAGCAGGAGCCAGUUAGCGCACCGCCCAAUGGCUUGGGAGAUGGCCCCAGCUCGCCUAAGGUUCCAGAACAUGGCUAGAGCGUGAACCAAGUAGGAACCACCGCCAAACCAGUCGGCGUACUGCCAAGUUCCUUAGGCGAGCCCUAAGGAGGUAGAACAAUGGAGACCUGAGUUGAGACUGCAAGAGGCUACAAUGAUCACUGAAGAAGAAAAAGUAUGGCUGCAGGGACUUUUUGAGGAAGAAGAGAUAAGGGUAUGUUUGAACUUAUGUGUAAAGGAGAAAUCCUCGAGUCCUGAUGGAUAUCCGAUGGUAUUCUUCUAGACUUUUUGGGCCCUGUUGAAGGAAAACAUCACCAAUACAAUUUAAUUUUUUCAUUCUAAUCAGAUUUUUGAGAAAAGUUUUAAUGCAACUUUUAUUGCUUUAAUCCCAAAGAAACCUGGAGCAUCAGAGUUCAAGGAUAUUAGGCCAAUCAGCCUGGUGGAGGGAGUCUACAAGAUCAUUGCUAGAUUAUUGGUUGAAAGGCUAAAAAAGGUGGUGUCUAAAUUGAUCAACAAACAUCAAAUGGCUUUUGUAAAGUGGAGGUAAGUCAUGGAUGCAACACUCAUUGCUAUUGAAUGCAUUGACUCAAGAAUGAAAGGAGGACCCCCUGGUCUAAUGUGCAAAUUGGAUAUUCAGAAAGCCUAUGAAAACUUGAAUUGGUCUUUCCUUCUGAAUACUCUUAGACAAAUGGGAUUUGGCAGCAAAUGGAUGAAGUGGAUUGAGGUAUGUAUAAAAACAGUCAAGUUUUUUGUCCUUGUGAAUGGGGAACCCGUGGGCUUUUUCGAAUCAGAAAGAGGGCUGACAUAGGGUGAUCCUCUUUCCCCUUUCUUAUUCAUUUUGGCAAUGGAAGGCUUUGAUAGUAUGAUGAGGAUUGCAACACAAAACAGAUGGAUUAGAGGCUUUCAGGUCGGAGAUACAGUGGGAGAAGAAAAAGAAGUGUGUCAUAUGCUCUAUGCGGAUGACACUAUCAUCUUUUGUGAACCUACAACAUAAUAGAUUAGCUACAUCAGAGUGAUUUUGGUUUUGUUUGAAGCAGUUUCAAGGUUGAAAGUAAACUGGGUAAAAAGUAGUCUCUUUCUGAUAAAUGAGGUCCCUCAGAUCUAGCAACUAGCAAAUAUAUUGGGAUGCAGAGUGGAGCAUUUGUCUACCAUAUACCUGGGAAUUCCCCUGGGUAGCAAACAAAAAACAAUGGAGAUAUGGAAUGGCAUUCUGGUGAAAACAGAAAAGAAACUUGCUAGAUGGAAGGCACAAUAACUAUCCCUAGGGGGUAGAUUGAUCCUCAUAAACUCUGUUCUGGACUCUUUGCCAACCUAUGUGAUGUCCUUGUUUCCAAUCUCAACAAAGGUGGUGAAAAAACUAGACAAGCUUAGAAGGAACUUCCUAUGGAAAAGAAAUAAGGAGGGAAAGGGUUAUAAUUUAAUCAACUGGAAGAGUGUUCUUCUUAGCAGAGAAAGAGGGGGUUUAGGGAUCAAAAAUUUGAGGAUGCAAAAUGAAAGACUUUUGAUGAAAUGGCUAUGGAGAUACACUGAGGAAGAUGCAACUCUCUGGAAGGAGGUUAUAGUAUCAAAAUAUGGAGAACUAAUCCCUGGUGUACAAAAAUCACUUCUGAACCAUAUGGGGUGGGGCUAUGGAGAACAAUCAGGAACCUAUGGUCACAAAUGGAAGGAAAUAUGUAUAUGAAGGUGGGUAAUGGAAACAAAACUAAAUUUUGGAAAGAUGGUUAGAUAGACCAAACGUCUCUUACAGAACUUUUUCCAGAUUUGUUUCUAAUCUGUGAGAACCCUAAUGCUAGAGUGAGUGAUUAUUGAAUAGAACAGGGAUGAGACAUAUCUUUAAGAAGACUACUUAAUGACUAGGAGGUGGUGAGGAUGGCGGCCCUACUGGAAAAACUAGCUGGAAUGAUUAUAACCACAACAGCAACAGACAAGAUCCUGUGGAAACAUAGUAAGGAUGGAGUCUUCUCAGUCAACAAUGCCUACAAAAGAGGAAUACUGGGGACGAUAGGGGCCCCAAAAUAUAAUUGGAACUACUUUUGGAAGAGUGACAUUCCUACAAAAGUAAAGUGUUUCACCUAGUUAAUGAUAAAGAGAGCAUGUUUAACAGAAGAAGUUCUACAAAAGAAAGGCAGACAACUGGUCCCUAGAUGUUUUUUUGUGCAACUUCACAGGGGAAACAAAUAACCAUCUCUUCCUGCAUUGUAAGUUUACUACUCAAAUUUGGAACUUGUUUCUCAACAUCAAAAGCAUGAAAUGGACAAUGCCAGAACAUACAUCAGAUCUGUUGAGCUGCUGGAUUAGGAGAGGAGGCAGUAAGAGUCAAAGAGAUGGUGGAAGCUAAUACCAUCAUGUGUAUGGUGGUCAGUCUGGAAAAAAAGAAAUGGAAGAUGUUUUGAAGACAGAUCCAAUUCCAUCCACAAAAUUAAAUGGAAUUGUAUAGUAUCUCUACUUUUUUGGUGUAAACAGCUUUGUAUAGAUGAUAUAGACCAGAUUAUAGAUUUGAUAGGAAAUCUGUAAUUAUCCAUUUUUGGAGGUGGCCAACAUACCCUUAAUGCUGAAAAAUUCAACUUUACCAGUUUAAAAAAAAAAGAGUUCCUUAGGCGAGCCCAACUUGGCUCGCCCUUUAUCCUUUCGGGUCACUUUUGUUCCUUUUUCACCUAAAACUAUAAAUAGCUAGUUUGGGUUCAUUUUAGACUUACACUAUUUUGAAUAUUGAUGUUGAAAACUGAAAAACUCAUGUUUGAGUGUUGAGAGCUUGGAUAAGCUUUUGUUGAUUGUUGUUUAGAAUCGUCAGUUCCUUGGGAUAUCGAUUCCCUUGAGGUCGUCAUAAGAGUUAGGUGCUAUAGUUGGAUUAACGAAUCGAGGUCUUAUGGUUUAAUAUACCCUUUGGUUGCUUUUUGUUUCCUGUUGCGUGUCUAUUUAUCUAUCUUUACUUUCUUGUAUUUUUAUUUCCGCAUUGUUUUGUGAUUCCCUUUUAGGAAUUUCAUCAAUGCGUCUUCUCUUUUUUGGCAACUCUUAAAUUUCAUCUUUUCACAUGACAUGUUUAAGACAACGAGAUUGAAGAACAUUUGGUUCAUUCGACAUAUCCUUAGUUUAAGUUCACAAGAUUUCAAAGUCUUCUUUACUUUCUUAAAAUCCAUUCCAAGUCAAAACAAGACAAAAAUUAAUAUGGAGGGAGUAAUUAACUUGAAAAGUUGCACCAAUAAGAAGUUACAAAAACAAAGAUAUCUGCCAACAGGAUGAGGGUCGUCUAUCCUCAGAUGGAGAUUCCAAUGGUUUAUUAUCCUGACCAUGGUCAUUUUGAGUAGAUAUAUAAAAUAGUAAUUAGCCCAAAGCAGCCAUGGAAAACCUUCUCACUUUCUCUUUCCUGUCUCUCAGACCAUCAGUUAGUGCACCUAAUAUUCCAGAAUUUGCCAGCGCAUCCCCAAAAAAAGUAGAGUCACGAAUCAACAAGCCAAUACAUGAAGCAAGUUUAACAUGCAACAGAGAUACCUUGGAGUCCCGAAAUAUUUUGAGUAGAACCAAUACAAUAGACCCAUUGGUCAAGUGUAUCAAAUGAAACUGAAGGAAUUGCAUUUGAACCUUUAUCUGAUUUUCUGCUAGGUAUUAUUACAGGUCUGGCUGAGAGAUCAAAUAGAUGCCAAAUAAUAUCUGAAAAGUUCGUAGAUGGUUUUGAGAUAUCAGAGAAAUAAUAUUUUUAUAAGAACUAGAAGAGGAAAAGGAAGAAUGAUUGAACUUCCACGUCAGAUUAUUGGUCAAAAGCACUUUCAAAACGCUUACCUUUAAUGAAAUUCCAAACAGUUAUGCCAGCUAUUUAACUUUUCCUUUGUUCACUUCAGGGCAAAAAGGAGGGAAGAGAGUGGUGAACUACCUGGGAGGAAGGUGUCUUUUAUAUAUCACUCAAUUUUCUUGCAAAUCCAAAAUCACACAGCUGCCAGGAAACAAAUAGAACUCCAACGUCAUAUAACUAGUCAAAAGCAUUCAUCAUUAUGUGGAAAAGUCGCAACAUAAAUAUCACCAUACCUUUGCGAUUCCAUUUUCAUCCAAUAGGAUGUUUGAUAGCUUUAAGUCACAGUAAAUUAUUCCCUUUGAAUGCAAGUAUCUGGUAUAGUAGACAAAAUACCAAAAAAGUAAUUCUUGCCAAAAACAACAAGUGUUACAAAAGAACAAUGAAGGCUAAAGUUAUUUACUUACAAAAGAGCUCUAACAAGGCCACAAGCAACUUCAUGUAUUGAAUAUUCAGGAAGCUUGCCAUCCUUCAAGCAGAGAUUAAAUGAUGUUAAAAAUCUCCCAGGUGUGGUUUAAACUAACAUACAGGUAAGAUGAUGUAGAUACGAGUUGUGACAUUACCAACUACAGUAAACUGGGGUCAUUUUGACUACUCUUUAAAUACAAAUAAAAAGAGAAACCUAUUUCUUUCACAUCAUUUUACUAGCAUUAGAAACAAGUUAGUGCAAAGAUUGAGAACCUUUAUUUGUGAGAAUACAAACAAUCAUCUCUAUUAAACUGUUCAAUCACACAUGACACUGAUGUCCUUAGUGCCUGUUUGGGAAAUCCCAAUGUAGGCAUGCAACAAAUUUACCAUGGAAAUUCAAAAUCCCAUGCCUCCACUAAAAAAAGACCAAGAAGAAUUAGGGUGUUGUCACAAAUUUUGGAUGUUCGUGUCUAAUGUCGGCAUAAGGAAUCCUAUAUUACAACACUGUAUUUAUACCACUGGAACAAUGAAAUGUAUUUAUAAGAUAGCAAAUCUGCCAGUGCUUACCUAUUGCAACAUACUUAUGAGAUUUCAUCCAACACAAUAUUCUAAAACCAACCACAAGUGUGGAGAUAUUUCAUACCUAUGGAUCGGUUGAUUAAAAAAUAACUCAAAUAAAUCUUCUUAUUAAACACCAAAAUGAUCUUUACCAUCGAAUCGGGAUUGAAGAAAAAGAAAGGAGUUACAUGCAAGAGAGGAAAAAGAAAUAUGAUCAUUUGUUCAUGAGACUUCAAAUUUAUGCCACGGAAUAGAAACACUGUGUUUUGACUCAUAUAAUUUCCAAUAAUCUCAUAAUUACAAUAGUCACAAGCAUCAACAAUCCUUAACAUCUAGAAAUAUGAUGAGGCAAGUUGUUUUAUAAGACCACGCUUACUAAAAUCAUAUACAUUCAUUCUGAAGUAGUUUAGUUGCUUUUGAAGAUUUGCAAGAACUACAAAUAAUGUUAAAACAAUUGAGUACGCUGAUCCAUUAGCACUGUAGAAUAGCAGGCACCAUUAGAAUUUUACCGCAACUCAAUGCAUAUAACUUACAAGAAAACCUGUUGUAAGUAAACGGUUUCUAAAGUCCAUACUGAAGAGGGUUCACGGAUAAUUACCCUGUAAUAUCACAUUUUCCCUCUAUAUCAAUUCCUCUAAAAAAGUUUACUACAAUUAAAAAUCAAUAAUAUUAUGAAGUUCUCAAAUUUCUAAGAGAGCUAUUGGGUAGCUAAUAUAUUUUGCAGCUUGGUUCCCAAUUAAAUCGUAAAUUCUCAUCUUCCCAAUAUGGUGGCCUAGCAAUCAAAUAGAUCAACUAACAGCUUGGGAACUAAGGUUCAAAUUAAUAUGAGAUAGCAAUAACAAAAUGAACAUGCAAUAGACUUGGAGAAAACUACCUUAAGUAAUUUUAGAUUCAUCGAUUUCCUCUUCAUCUUUUUUAGUCACAGUGAUGCUCUCCUAGCUCUCUAUUUUCUGUUUAUGGCUUUGAGCAUAUUUGGCAGUAAGUUCUUGUUCCUUCCUCUCAAUGUCGAAUUUAUUCAAAUUUCUUCAAACUCCUCAUCACAUUUUCAGCUCUUGACCUCUUUUUGCCUCAAGUUCACUUGGUUUCUUCAAAUAUCCUAAAUCAACUUUCCAUUUUAUUUUAAUGAAAAAAUGAAAAAAACCACGUUAAAACACGAACUCUAAACUAAAGCAAGCCAAAAUAACUACGAGAAGAGCCUCAAAUGAGUGGAACUCCACCACUCAUUAGCACCCCCAACUUAGAAACUUUGUUUGUCCUCAAGUAAAAAAAAUCAAAAACACAAGAGGCUCUUAUUUCAUUACACACAACAAAUCAAUUUCCCUUUCUCAAUUAAACACACAAAGGUAAUGGCUUCGGUUGGUAAUAACAAAUAUUCCACAUGCAAACUUUUCACAAAAGAAAUCCUCUCCUUCUCAUGGAACAUUUUCAAAAACCAUUUAAGUGACAACCACUCAAACUCAAGAAAUGACUCAACUCAUUAACUCUUUCGUAUGCUCACUUGACUCAAUUAGGAAUUUUCAAAAUUACAACUUUUUCAACUUACAUGCCAUCACAAGAAAGAAGUGUCCCAAAACAACACACACAUAUAAACAAGAUAAUGGGGCAAAGAUGCAACACUCACACUCACAAAGAAUCAUCUCAUACACACAUUUAAGUGACAACCACUCAAACUCAAGAAAUGACUCAACUCAUUAACUCUUUCGUAUGCUCACUUAACUCAAUUAGAAAUUUUCAAAAUCACCACUUUUUCAACUUACAUGCCGUCACAAGAAAGAAAUGUCCCAAAACCACACACACAUAUAAACAAGAUAAGGGGCAAAGAUUUAACACUCACACUCAAAAAGAAUCAUCUCAUGUACACAAAUGUCACAGCAUAGGAUUGCCCAUAUUUUUAAUCAACAUUGACUCACCUCCAUUUGGUUAGAAAUCUCAAAGGACUUUGGCAAGGUUGCAGUCUAAGCUUUGGGAAGGUAAGGAUAUUAUUUAGGUAUAAGUGACUACACCCUCCUUGAUCACUACACAACAA